GUAAUGUCUUUGUGACAAGAACUUUCUUUGUCUUUUAUUCCCAUGUUUGAACUAGUAUAGGUCGGGGUUACACAUUAUGGUGCACAUCACUUUAUUUAUCAUCGUUACAUUGAACGCUCAUUGACUAAACAACGAUGAUCCAUCCAUCUUGUAUUGUAGGUCUUCAUUUCAUUGGCCACCGAUGCUUGUAAGACUAGUCUCAUAUGGUUGUUGUUGUGGAUAUGGUUGUUGAGGUUGGUGUGGUUGCUGGGGUUGCUGGGAAAUUGUUUGUUCUGGUUGCUGGGAUAAUUGUUGUUGGGGCUGUAGAAAUGGUUGUUGUGGUUGUUGGGGUAAUGGUUGUUGUGGUUGCAGGAUGGAUGGUUGUUGGGGUUGCUGGGGUUGGGGCUGGGGAAAUGAUUGUUGUGAUUGUUGGGGUUGCUGGGGAAAUGGUUGUUGCGGUCCUAGGAGGAAUGAUUAUUGUGGUUGUUGGGGGAAUGGUUGUUGNNNNNNNNNNNNNNNNNNNNNNNNNNNNNNNNNNNNNNNNNNNNNNNNNNNNNNNNNNNNNNNNNNNNNNNNNNNNNNNNNNNNNNNNNNNNNNNNNNNNNNNNNNNNNNNNNNNNNNNNNNNNNNNNNNNNNNNNNNNNNNNNNNNNNNNNNNNNNNNNNNNNNNNNNNNNNNNNNNNNNNNNNNNNNNNNNNNNNNNNNNNNNNNNNNNNNNNNNNNNNNNNNNNNNNNNNNNNNNNNNNNNNNNNNNNNNNNNNNNNNNNNNNNNNNNNNNNNNNNNNNNNNNNNNNNNNNNNNNNNNNNNNNNNNNNNNNNNNNNNNNNNNNNNNNNNNNNNNNNNNNNNNNNNNNNNNNNNNNNNNNNNNNNNNNNNNNNNNNNNNNNNNNNNNNNNNNNNNNNNNNNNNNNNNNNNNNNNNNNNNNNNNNNNNNNNNNNNNNNNNNNNNNNNNNNNUGCAGGGGGAAUGGUUGUUGGGGAAUUAUUUGUUCUGGUUGCUGGGGGAAUGGUAGUUGGGGCCGGGGAAAUGGUUGUUGGGGUUGCUGGGGGAAUGGCUGUUGUGGUUGCAGAGGGAAUGAUUGUUGGGUCUGGGGAAAUGGUUGUUGUGAUUGCUGGGAAAAUUGUUGUUGGGGUGUGGGAAAUGGUUGUUGCGAUGGAUAUGGUUGCUGUGAUGGAUAUGGUUGUUGUGGAUAUGGCUGUUGUAGAAAUGGUUGUUGUUGAUAGGAAAAUGAUUGUUGAGGUGAUUGUAAUUCUUUGUUGCUAGGGUUUAGCUGCCUAGCGGCAGUGGCGAUGUUCAUCGCCAUGGCAAGGAGGACAAAGAUGAGGAAGGUCUUCAUGUUGGAUUUGUGGUUACUACUGCUUGCUUGCUUUUGAUGCUUGUGGUCUAGGUGUGUGAAGUUUGGAUGAUGAAAUGUGGUCUUGGUGGUGCAUGUGUAUUUAUAGUUUUCAUGGCAUGGCUUGCUUUCUUCUUCCCACUCGCUUUUUGAAAAAGUGCACCAAUGCUUAUCCAACUAAUCAUUUGAUUUGUUGUGUUUGGUGCAACUACUUACUAGCAAGAUUUUGGAUUUUCAUGAUAGUUGCUUUUUGUUGAAAUCAUCUGGUUGUAAGGAAUGUUGGAUAAUGACCAAUGACUCAUCUUCUUCACUUUACACUGCAAACAUUGAUCUAAAUUAUAUCCUUUUUUGAAAUUUAGUUUGUGAAGCUCUACAUGUUGUUAGGCUUAUCUAUAUUGGCAUAGCUUGAGUGGAAUUAAGUUUGUAAGCUUGUGAGCGUCAUUAUGAUGGAUCACACUAUUAAUGUGAUGAUUGUACUACAAAUUAUCUUUCCAAAACUAAUUUUAUGUUUUUUCCCAAUAUGAUUCUAAGACGGAUAACCAGACAUGACUCAUCAAAUAACAAGAUAAACCGAGUAGCAAAUUGGGGUUAUAAGUUAUAACAUGGACUUUUCUCUAAGAUACACUAUCUUGUCUUGCAUGCUCUGUGAAUUUGAAAAGCAUCUACUAAUUUAUAUGCAAUUGAAACAAAAGUAGACCAGAAAGAUAAGCAAUGAAAUGAGAAUACUAUUAUGUGAAGCUCUACAUGUUUGGCAAGCAAUAAGAUACUGGAUACAUCUAUAUCUUCAAUCCUGACAAUUUUUCUCAUCCCUAUCAACUCUUUAUUGGCUGCCUUUACUGUAGUCAUCCCUUAAAUAAAAAUCACUUAAAGAUAAGUUUGGGAGCUAGUACCAGCAUCUAUCAUGUACAAGAUAAAAAACUAAGGCACAUAUAGUAGUCUAUUGACUAUAUUUAAUUUCAUGUGAUGUGAAAGCAUGUGGAGUAUAAGUUGGUUAAAUAUAAAAUUGUCCUUCAUACCAGUAGGGAAAGAAUAUGCAGUAUAAAGAUUAGAGCAUUAUUAAUAUGCUAUUAAAUGCUACAGGAUAAUCGAUAGUUCAAGUUAAGAACAACAAUAGCAUUCCAACUUUUGUUUUGUGCAAGUUAAGAACAUGCUAACAAAGUAACCUAAGCAAAUAAGUGCAACACCUUCACCUAUAAGGAAAUUUUGAAACUACACAAAAUGACCUAUUGUAAAGAAGGAAAAAAAUCUAAAGGUGAAUGAAAAGCAUGUUAAGUACAUUCAGGAUUCGGUUAUGCCUUCAUGGAUAACCUUUUAGAUGGUGACUUGUCAACCUUGAUGUGUGUCGGCAUGGAACGAGGACAAGAAGACAUCGUUACGUCGUACUUUGGGAAUUUCAUCAAACUGGUUGUGUGCGGGAACAAAUAUUUGUCGCCUCCCUGCUCAAAUCUCUCUUCAUGUCACUAAAUCCGACACUCCACCUACCAAAAUCAGCUGCAAGCCAGGGACAAUCAACAGGUUUCUCCGCCCGUAGCAUCUAUCACCAAAAGAAGUUCAGACUAUAGUCUUGUAGUUUAAAAUUUUGUAAUAACAAGCACUACUAGGUUGCUCUUGUUUGUACGUCUUCAUUAUGUACAACCCAUGGAACUUAAAAUGCAUGGGUCAUUCUUCGGUAUAUACAACCAAUGCAACCAAACAUGCAUUGGGCUUUUCUUUGUACAUCUUCAGGUUCUACAACCAAUGCAACAAAAAAUCCAUUGGGCAGUCUUCCAUUCUAGUCGGGCACCAAUAGUUAAACGAGGAGCUAAACAGUGUUGGAGUCUAAAACUACAUACAAUCAUGAAGCAGAGAGAUGCGACUUGGAAGUUGUGCUCCUGUGAGCUCGUAUUUUUGAAGAAAAAAGUAAUAUUUGUAUUUUGAAGUGGGAAAAAGUCCUAAAAAGGGAUGUUUUGCGGGUUAUAACUUACUAUUUUUGAGUCCUGGGCUGCAGGAAGGUCGUAAAAAAUCAAUGUGUUUUCCCAUUCAUGCAUGUUUCUUGGGUUAUAGGUCACGCUUUUGGUGUCCUAGGGAGAUCACUUCCCCAGUUGGGAACAUUAGGUGAUGAUUUUUAGCAAAACUCAUUGUUUUAGCCUAACUAGUUUCGAGGAUUGGUGGACAAGAUUAUCAUGGAACAAAGUGACAACCUUCCUUUUCUUCAUGCCUAAUAUAAACUUAGCAGUCAACUAAAAGUAACUAGCGAUAUCACAGAAUGUUUUUUUGUCAAAAGUAGAUACCACUUCAGGAUUCAACUCGGUUAGUUCAAUCAUAGACAUGUUAAGAGCAGGAUUUACAACUAACUGCAUAGGGAACAUCUCCUUUUAUCGCCCACUAUCUGUCUAUGCACUUUGGUUUUCCCGUAGCAGCACACAAAGCACUUUGUUAGUACCAAUAAUGUGCUCCAACUCUACACAUUAAUCAUCUUGAAUUCUUCUACUGAUGUCGAACAAUGUUAUAUCUUGAAUUCUUCUAACGAGUUCAGAUUAUACUACAUGGGCAAUUUAUCUGGUCCCUGAGAUGCAAGGUCGAUGAACAAUCGCUUCGUCUGAUGAUGAGGGAUUGUUUUUGCCUAAGAAACCAAUACAUGUAACUUCGACGCCAGAUUAAUAAUUGGUAAAACCCAAAUAAAUUAGAUCACGAGCUAAACCAUUUAAUUUUGUAUGCAUUUAAACUUUUGAUACAUAUGAGCUUGUUAAGAUGUUCGCAUAAACACCAUGGUGAUUUGAAGCAAGACAAAGUAAACUUGAACCGCUUGAGCCACUGACUUAAUAAGAACCUCCUUUCCCGUGGCAGAGAUCGUUUUUAAUACAUCCACUCACUUUGGUUCUCUUAUGAAAUCUAGAUUCCUUCGCUAAGGCUAUUGCUCCAGUAUUGUCACAAAAGAUUUUUGUUGGACCCGAUGCACUAGGUAUGACACCUAGAUCGGAUAUGAACUCCUUCAUCCCGACUCCUUCAUUUGCUACUUCCGAAGCAGCUAUGUACUCCUCUUCACAUGUAGAUCCCUCCACGACGCUUUGCUUGAAACUGCACCAACUGACAGCUCCACCAUUCAAUAUAAAUACGUAUCCGGUUUGUGACUUAGAGUCAUCCAGAUCAGUGUCAAAGCUUGCAUCAACGUAACCAUUUACAACGAGCUCUUUGUCACCUCCAUAAAUGAGAAACAUAUCCUUAGUCCUUUUCAGGUAUUUCAAGAUGUUCUUGACCGCUAUCCUAUGAUCCACUCCUGGAUUACUUUGGUACCUCCCUGCUAAACUGAUAGCAAGGCACACAUCUGGUCUGGUACAUAGCAUUGCAUACAUGAUAGAACCUAUUGCUGAAGCAUAGGGAAUGACUUUCAUUUUCUCUCUAUCUUCUGCAUUGGUCGGGCAUUGAGUCUAACUCAACUUCACACCUUGUAACACAGGCAAGAACCCUUUCUUUCCUUGAUCCAUUUUGAACUUCUUCAAAACUUUAUCAAGGUAUGUGCUUUGUGAAUGUCUAAUUAACCGUCUUGACCUAUCUUUAUAGAUCUUGAUGCCCAAUAUAUAAGCAGCUUCACCGAGGUCUUUCAUUGAAAAAUUCUUAUUCAAGUAUCCUUUUAUGCUAUCCAGAAAUUUCGUAUCAUUUUCGAUCAACAAUAUGUCAUCCACAUAUAAUAUCAGAAAUGCUACAAAGCUCCCACUCACUUUAUAAAGGCUUCUCCAAAAGUCUGUAUAAAACCAUAUGAUUUGAUCACACUAUCAAAAUGUAUAUUCCAACUCUGAGAGGCUUGCACCAAUCCAUAAAUGGAUCACUGGGCUUGCACACUUUGUUAACACCUUUUGGAUCGACAAAACCUUUUGGUUGCAUCAUAUACAACUCUUCUUUAAGAUAUCCAUUAAGAAAUGCAGUUUUGACAUCCAUUUGCCAAAUUUCAUAAUCAUAAAAUGCGGCAAUUGCUAACAUGAUUUGGACAGACUUAAGCAUCGCUACGGGUGAGAAGGUCUCAUCAUAAUCAACUCCUUGAACUUGUCGAAAACCUUUCGCAAAAAGUCGAGAUUUGUAGACAGUAACAUUACCAUCAUCGUCAGUCUUCUUCUUGAAGAUCCAUUUAUUCUCUAUGGCUUGCCGAUCAUCGGGAAAGUCAACCAAAGUCCACACUUUGUUCUCAUACAUGGAUCCCAUCUCAGAUUUCAUGGCCUCAAGCCAUUUCGAGGAAUCUGGGCUCAUCAUUGCUUCCUCAUAGUUUGUAGGUUCAUCAUGGUUGAGUAACAUGACCUCCAGAACAGGAUUACCAUACCACUCUUGUUGGGAAUAUGACUACCAGGUAUGACCCGCCCAGGAGGGGCCGGGUCAAUCCUAAUGGCGGGUUACUAAAAGAAGCUCAGUGAAUAUACAAGGCGAUAGUUUAUUAUAAGACUUGUAGUAGGACCAAGCCCAAAGGCGGGUUAAGGCCCAUAAUUGUAAACCGCCAUGUAUAAGAAAGAAUUGUAAAGAAAGGCAUGUAAGAGAAGUCACCGAGCCGGGCACGUUAUAUGAGCCGGCUGGGACUCUGUAGGCCGCCAGGCGUCAACCCGUGUAUAUAAGGGGACGACCCGGUGGCGGCUUAGGGCAAGUAACAUCAAAUCGAGAGCCAUGCAUAGCGUAUUUGCUCCCUGGUCAUCGAAACCUAGCAAUACCACAUCAACUGGACUAGGCUUUACCUUCACCGUAGGGGGCCGAACCAGUAUAAACCUUUCGUGUCCUUUGUCCCGAUUAACCCCUUUAAGCUUCCUAGUUGCGAUGGCUCCACGACUAAGUCCUUUCAGUAGGACAUCUGCCGUGACAAUUCCACGACAGUUGGCGCCCACCGUGGGGCCAUCGCACGAUGGAUUUGAGUUCUUGAAGGGCAGCUUCCAAGGGCUCAAGGGAUACGCUGUGGGCCGGAUAACCAAAAGUUGUCACAGCAAGCUCUACAUCGACGACGCAGGCUGGGGCCCCGAGGCUGGCUCAAUCGAGUACGGGUACCGGGUCCCCUUCGGCGGAAUCCACGUCUUCAUCGGCCGGAUCGGCGAGCCGGGCCCUGAGUCGGACAUCUGCACCGACCUCAUCGAGAUGGCUCAGCGAGUGAGACCUGCCCGGGCUCAACCUGCCGUGAGGCGUGCCUUCGUGGGUUGCAUCCAUGGAGGGGAAUUUUCUGAAGGAUCGAUGGACGGUGGUGAGACAGUCGUUUGCUCUAGCAGUGAGUCGUCCAUAGGCGAGACAGAUUCUUUGUAUCAGCUACAAGAUGGCGGGCUUGGGGGCUGUUCCGAUGGCAGUAGUAUUCCGGACCCCUCUGAGCCGCCGAAUCGAGCCGGAGUCUUCAUGGCUGGCACUCAACCUGGUUAGAAUUCUAUGGCUGCGGCAGCAAUAACCACUGGGUCAGCAGGGGCCGGGUCAGGAGACCCCGCGCGCCCACCGGCUCAGGUACUAAUGGACCUCAUGGAUAGGAUGACGGCCCUGUUGACUGCUGUGGUUGAGCCGGCAGAUAAGGCUCAGCAUGACGCAGAGGUAGCACAGCUACACAGAGAGGUAGCACAGGCCAAGGAAAAUUUAGUGGCGGAAGAUGUCAGGAUGGCCGCGGAACGGGCGGCUCUGGAUGCACGGGCUCGGCAGCUUCAAGCGAAGACUUUCUGGCUCUCGGUGGAUCUGAACGCAUCAAACGAGGUCACGAGGAGAAGGCACCAGAAGGCUCAAUCAUGUCUGCCUCUGACUUACGAUCCUAGGAACCUUUUUCACACACCCGGGACUGGUCCCAGUAACCCGCUGAAGGCAAACCGGAUCACAACACCCGGGACCGGGACGCCGGUUCAACCGCGGGCCAUGGAACCACCGCGUGUGAAUACUGCUCUGCCUCACUACACAGCGAUACCACCGGGUCACUUCUCUAACCCCUUGGAGAACCUUAUUGCUGCGUCGGCUCAUCUGGCGGCUCUCCCGAUGGAAGGUGACUCUUCGACGGCGAUCGAGACACGACGGGUCAGAGAACUUCUUCAGACGGCUCUGGCACAGCAGGAUGCAUAUUCUUAUAGUUGAGAUAGAAUCCAUUCAACCCCUCGCCCAAGCCGGAGCCCAAGCUAUAGCAGGCAUAUGGACUCGGCGGCCAUGUCAAGCAACACCCAGCGCCGUAACCAUCCACGUGGGCGUGACCCGGCCCCGGGCGGAGCUUGUAACUUGGUAGACCAGGAGAGGAUCCGUCAAGAGGCUGAACGGGUGGUUCAACAGGCGGCUGAGCAAGCGGCUCACCAAGCUUUUCCAAUUUAUACAGUGACCUCUGUUGAAGCAGGGGUGGCCACAAGGACAGGAGGAGUCCCUUGUCUUGUGCAGUCUCUGCGUAAUGAGCGUUUACCAAAGGACUUUAAGGGGCCUCGUAAGGUGCCCAAUUACACAGCCGACCUGCAGCCCGGAGCAUGGAUUGAAAGUUACGAGAUGGCCAUGGAGUUAUUAUAAGUCAGUGACGCAGCAAUGGCCAAAUACUUCACCAUGAUGUUGGAUGGAACAGCUCGUACUUGGUUAAAGGGGUUACCGCCCAACUCCAUCGGCUCAUGGGCGGAGUUGAAGGCACGGUUCAUUCAGAACUUUAAAGAUACCUGUAAACAGCCCAUGUCAAUCGUGGACUUGACUAACUGCAAGCAAGAGGAAGGCAAAUCCAUGACCCAUUGGGUGCGCCGGGUCAAGGAAAUAAUACAUUCAUCUGAUAAGAUGGAUGCCAGCUCCACGGUCUUAAUGUUGGAGAAAAAUUACCGUUUUGAACCUCUGAAACAGAAGCUGGGGCGGCUCAAGCAUGAUUGUAAUGACAUGGGCCAGUUGAUGGCGGCUCUGGUCAAAUAUGCUGACUCUGACAGUACCAAGGAUCCCAUGUCUGACGAAGAGAAGACGAGGAAGGGAAAGAAGAACGGCAACGGCAAGGGUCACCAGCAUAACCCGACAAAUCAAGGAGGUAAUAAACGCAAGGCUGACGAGUUUGUGGCUAACACCAAUGCACAUGGCAACAACCAAUGGCGCAAGGGGAGGCCACCUCCUCGGUCAGGCGGAUCAGGUCCCACCCUCGAGCAACUACUAAAUGAACCCUGUCCGGGACAUGGCACCCGGGAGAAGCCGGCUACCCAUCUGUGGAAGGAUUGUACGAUCAUGAAGGCUUUUAAGAAUUCUAACAUGUUUGAUGGUAACCACGGGCCUGCUGGCGGCUCAGGCGGUGGCGGUUUUCAUGGCCAAGGCCAUCCGGGUAGUCAAGGCGAUUAUAGUCAGCAAUCCGGCCAGGGCAGUCAGCAACAGCAGCAACAGCCCGUGUAUCAGAGUAACCCAAAACAGCUGAACAGUGGACAGUACCAUGUGUUUACCACCAGUUUGUGCAAGAGGGACCAGAAGCUUCAGAAGAGGGAUGUAAAUGCUAUUGAGCCGGCGGUUCCACGUUAUUUGAGAUGGUCUGAACAACCUAUUCUGUGGAGUAGGGAAGAUCACCCACCCCGGGUUGAUAAUCCGGGUCAUCUGGCUUUGGUGGUGGCGCCUCAGGUUGGUGGAUAUAAGUUCACUAAAGUGCUCAUGGACGGAGGCAGUAGCAUCAACGUCCUCUAUUAUGAGACGUUCUGUCGCAUGGGGUUGACUGAUAAGAGUCUUAAAACAUCCAACACUGUUUUUAUGGGGUAGUGCCUGGUAAGUCGGCGUACCCAGUUGGUAAAAUUGAGCUGGAAGUGGCCUUUGGAGAUGAGUAUGAUUCUAGGGCUGAGAAGCUAACUUUUGAAGUGGUUAAAAUCAAGAGCCCAUAUCACGCUCUGUUUGGACGGCCGGCUUAUGCUAAGUUCAUGGCCCGGCCGUGUUAUGUGUAUUUGCAGCUCAAAAUGUUGGGUUAUAAAGGCACUAUCAUAGUACAUGGAAGCCGGAAAAUAGCCCUGGAAUGUGAAGAAGGUGAUGCUGCAUAUGCCGAGUCUGUUUGUGCAACAGAGGAAUUGAAGUUUUAUAAGGAUAAUGUUGACCCGGCAAACAUGGCGUCUUUGAAGAAGCCAACUACGGAGCAUGAGCCGGCAUUGAAAUUCAAGUCCGCUGAUGACACCAAGAUGAUUGAUUUCGUGUCUGGCGACUCAUCCAGACACUUCAUUAUCAGUGCUAACUUGGAUCCAAAAUAGGAAAGCGUGCUCAUCGAGUUCAUCCAUGAGAACCGGGACAUCAUUGCAUGGAAGCCUUCUGACAUGCCGGGUGUUCCGAGAGAACUCGUUGAGCACACUCUCAAUAUUCAUCCAAAGUUUAAGAUGGUCGGGCAAUUUCUUCGGCGGUUUAACGAGGAAAGGUGCAAGGCCAUUGGAGAAGAGGUGGCCCGGCUCUUGGCGGCCGGGUUCAUUGUUGAAGUUUUUCACCCAGAGUGGUUGGCUAACUCGGUGCUUGUGCUUAAAAAGAACGGCACCUGGCGCAUGUGUGUGGAUUACACAAAUUUAAACAAGGCUCGUCCAGCUGAUCCUUUUGCUCUCCCUCGUAUUGAUCAAAUCAUUGAUGCUACGGAGGGUUGUGAGCGUUUGAGUUUUCUGGAUGCUUAUUCGGGUUAUCAUCAGAUCAAGAUGGCAGUUAAGGACCAGGAGAAAACAGCUUUCAUCACUCCGUUUGGAGCCUUCUGCUAUGUGUCUAUGCCUUUUGGGCUCAAGAGUGCCCACGCGACUUAUCAGCGGUGUGUACAAAAUUGCCUUCAUAAUCAGAUUGGGUGUAAUGUUCAUGCUUAUGUGGAUGAUAUAGUGGUGAAAUCCAGAGAGAAGGAAACCUUAGUAGCUGAUCUAAAGGAAACCUUUGGUAACCUCCGGGUCUACAAGAUGAUGCUUAACCCGGCCAAGUGUGUUUUUGGAGUCCCAGCUGGCAAGCUCUUGGGUUUUUUGGUGUCUAAUGGAGGCAUUGAGGCUAACUCGGAGAAAAUAAAGGCAACCACGUCUUUGGCUAAACCGGCAUGCAUCAAUGACGUUCAGCGGCUGGCGGGCCGUGUCGCAGCUUUAAGCCGGUUUAUAAGUCGGUUGGGCGAGAAGGCUAUGCCAUUGUAUCAAAUGAUGAAAAAGGUGGAUGACUUUGUAUGGAGUGACGCUGCUGAUUCCGCUUUUGAAGGUUUGAAAAGACAGCUUGCUGGGCCACCUAUUCUUGCUGCCCCCGUUGAGAAGGAGCCGCUAUUGUUAUAUGUGGCUGCUAACUCACAAGCCGUCGGCAUGGCCAUUAUUGUGGAGCGCAAGGAGGUUGGCAAGGAACAUCCAGUUCAAUGGCCGGUUUACUACGUCAGUGAGGUGCUCAUUGGAUCCAAGAAAAGAUACCCACAUUAGCAAAAACUUGUUUAUGGGGUGUUCAUGGCAAGCCGGAAGCUUAAGCAUUACUUCCAGGGUCAUCCUAUCACUGUGGUUAGCUCUGCUCCUUUAGGAGAUAUUAUUUAGAACAGAGAAGCCACAGGACGAGUCGCCAAGUGGGCCAUUGAGCUUGGGGUCUCAUAAUAUAAAGUAUGUGCCACGUACGGCUAUUAAGUCUCAAGCACUGGUGGACUUCAUUAAUGAUUGGACGGAGUUACAGACACCUGAAGAGAAGCCAGACAACACAUAUUGGACGAUUCAUUUCGAUGGGUCCAGGCAGUUGGAAGGCUCGGGGGCUGGAGUUGUGUUAACUUCUCCUCGAGGUGACAAGUUUUGUUAUGUGUUGCGAUUGAUGUUUCCUUGUACUAACAAUGCAGCAGAAUAUGGGGCCUUGCUCCAUGGUCUUCGAAUGGCUAAAGAGAUGAGUUUAAGACGGGUACGGUGCCUUGGCGACUCAGAUUUGGUGGCUCGGCAGGUGUCAGGCAAGUGGGAUUCCAAGGACCCUCUCAUGGCGGCUUAUCGCCGGGAAGUUGAUGAUGUUGUUGGACAUUUCAAAGGUUAUCAGGUGGAGCACAUUGACCGCAGAAAAAACAAAGCGGCUGAUGCUUUAAGCCGGUUGGGAUCACAGCGUAAGCUGGUGCCACCUAACACUUUUCUAGAUGUUCUUCAAAACCCUUCUGUCAAACUGCCUACAGAGGAAGAUUUGGUCAUUCCAGACCCGGAGGCACAGUUAGUAGCGGCUCUUCAUGUUAUUCCAGAUUGGACAUUACCGUAUUUGGCUUACAUGACCCGGGGUGAGUUGCCAGAGGAUGAGACCUUGGCUCGACAGAUAACCCGACGGUCUAAGUCAAUGACAAUUUCCAAUGGUGAGUUGUAUCAUCGCAGCGUCACUGGAGUGUUUCAACGUUGUGUCUCUCCCGAAGAAGGUCAAGAAAUUCUUCGUGAGAUCCAUGAAGGGGAUUGUGGUCAUCACGCUGGUUCAAAGUCUCUUGUGGCUAAAGCUUUUCGUCAUUGUUUUUACUGGCUAACGGCUCACGCUGAUGCAGAGGAUCUGGUCAGUAGGUGUGAUGGGUGUCAAAAAUUUGCACGACGAGCGCACGUGCCGGCUUAAGAAUUGCGGAUGAUUCCAAUCACUUGGCCGUUUGCAGUCUGGGGGCUUGACAUGGUUGGACCUUUUAAAAGAUCCAAGGAUAAAAAGACACAUCUUUUGGUGGUAGUUCACAAAUUUACAAAAUGGGUUGAGGCAGAGCCGGUUAGUAAGUGUGAUGCAGCCACGAUGGUUCAGUUCAUGAAAAAGGUGAUCUUUCGUUUUGGCUUUCCACAUAGCAUUAUAACUGACAAUGGUACUAAUCUGUCCAAAGGCAACAUGGAGGAGUUUUGUCAAUGUGAGCAUAUCCGGCUUGAUGUUUUGUCUGUAGCUCACCCCCAAUCCAAUGGUCAAGCUGAGAGAGCAAAUCAGGAAAUCCUAAAAGGUCUCAAGCCCGACUUAUGGUUCGUUUACAACGGACGCCGGGUUGUUGGGUGGAGGAAUUACCCUCGGUGCUGUGGAGUAUCAAUACCACUCCUAACAGAUCUACAGGUUAUACACCUUUCUUCAUGGUUUAUGGAGCAGAAGCAGUUCUGCCUAGUGACAUCCGUCAUGACUCACCUCGCGUGGCGGCCUAUGUUGAAGCUGAUAAUGAACAAGCCCGACAGGAUGCACUUGACUUGUUAGAUGAGGAGAGAGAUUUGGCAGUGGCUCAAUCAGCAAUUUAUCAACAAGACUUGCGCCGUUAUCACAGCCGCCGGGUUAAGUCCAGAACCUUUCAAGAAGGUGACCUAGUGCUCCGGCUCAUCCAGGAUCUGUCUGAUGCACACAAGCUAUCCCCGCCUUGGGAAGGACCCUUUGUGGUCAACAAGAACUUAAACAAUGGGUCAUAUUACCUCAUUGAUGUUCGAGAGCACAAAGACCCACGUAAGUCGGAGGAGGAGACCCGCCGGCCGUGGAACAUCGCUCAGCUUCGGCCAUACUACACUUAAACCAUCGGCUCUCAUCAUGUACAUACUUUGACGUUGUAUAUAAUAUGAUAAGUAAUAAAGCAGGACCUCUGUCCUUUUUCCCCUUCAAUGAUCAUAUAUCUUUAUUAUUUUCAUUAUUUAAAAUGACCAUUAGGGGGCUGAUCGUAUCCGAAUCUAGCUUAACCCUUUUGGUCCGGCUCAUGAUCGUAUUCGAAUCUAGCCGUAAAACUCAUGGUCACUUGGGGGCUUCCUGUUCAAACAUAGGUCGUAUUCGAACCAAAGAGAACAUAGCUGUCGUAACCCUCUUGAUCGGCUCAAAGCCAAACUCACUAGGGGGCUUCUUGAUCGUAUCUGAAUCAUAGCUUAACCCCUUUUUGGGUCCAACUUGGAUCGUAUUCGAAUCAGGGUCGUUAAAAACCUCUCAAGGUCAUUUGGGGGCUUCCUAUUCAAACAUAGGUCGUAUUCGAACCAAAGAGAACAUAGCUGUCGGUACCCUCUUGAUCGGCGCAACGCCAAAGCCACUGGGGGCUAUAUGAUCGUAUCCGAAUCUUAGCUUAACCCCUUUGGUCCGGUUUACUGAUCGUAUUCGAAUUAGAAGCCUCCAGUUUUUAUUUAAAUGUUUGAUUUACAUUGUCUGAAGCCUAGUGUUUUAUCUUACUAUUUUUAUCGUCUCAAAUCUAACUGUUAGUAUGGUUUCAAAUUAAACCGGCUUGGCUAUUUGACAAUGUGUCGCCAAGGCAUAACAGUCAUCAGACAUAUGGAAGUAUUGACUUCUAAAAAAGAUUGGGUUAUCAACCUCAUCAUCCGGGUCAUGUAAACCGACAGUCCAUGUUCAAAAACCACAGGUAUGACAGUGUCAUUCAUGAACAGACUUCCCUGGGUUUUUCGUCAGUCAAAGGAUUUUUCAGCCUUGUUUAUCUUACAUCUGGUUCUAUUUUUUCCACUAUGAUAAUUUCAUAAUCAUGUACCGGGUGUUUUGACCCGUCCGGUGCUAAGCCACCGGGACAGUUUUUUUCAUCUUUUACAGGAACAGAGUUAAAACAUUACAGAUGUAACCACGAUGUAAUGCAUAUAUAUAUUGACAUCAUGGGCAAAGAGUCAUAUGAAACAUCUUAUGCACGAUGGCAUAGGCAAAAUAUGCAAUUUUCAAACUAACCUAUUACAAGGCAUUGAGAGCCCAAAAGGUUAAACGGUUUUCUCUCUUAAGCAGGUCUUAAGCUAAAAACUGGAUUGUUCAGAUGGUUAUGACUCCUCCCUGGCCGUUUCACCUCCCUCCACUGGUUGGAAGCUGGGAUUGGACCAGUCAAAGCCGUUCAGAGCAAUGAACUCAGCCUCAUCGUCAAUUAGGCCGGCCGGGUCAAUUUGCAGGGCAAAAGUGUGUUGACGAACCGGCGGGAUAAGAUCCAUCACUUUAUAAGAGGGAGUCGCCAUCUUUUUAUUCUCCAUAUCAAAACCCGACUGAUAUUUUUCGAUGUUGGUCUCCUCACCAAGAAUGGUAGCCUGAGGACGAACUCCCCUCACACAAGCAAUAAAGUCAUCUUGCUCAAACGGAGUCCCGUCUUCCUUCAUGGUAGGGUACCCCUUAGCCACGUCCACCGGGUGUAAAUCGGGCACCCAGGCUUUGGAGCGGCUCAGGGCAGUCAGGGCUCCGACUCUGGCACAAGAUCGUUUGACCUCUUGAAAUCUGGCGGGUAAGAUCGAUAACUUCUUCAAAACAUCACUUAAACGGUUGGGUCCUUGGUUGGCAGGGGAUAUAUAUAGUAGAAAGUGCUCGUUGAGCACCAGUGUACAGUUGCUCCACCAAGGUAUAAACCGCCUUCAGUUUUGUCACACUAUCUUGACUCAGAUAUUUUACUUCGUGGACCUGUGAGUACUUUUUAACAAAGGCUCAGCAGGCGGCUUAUAUUUCUGGUUAAAAUAAAGUAUAAGUGACUAAUGCAAAUGACUUACCAAAGAUGGCGGAGACCAUUUGAUACACACGGUUUUUUAAGCCGGUGAGCUCCAUGGUAACCUCCUCAAGAGUCGCCUCUGCUGUCUUGGCACGUUGUGUCAGCAAGGUCUUCUCAUCGGCCCAGGAUUUCUUCUUCUCAGUCACACUGGUCUUCAAUUUUUCAGUUUUAGAGAGACUCAAUUGGAGUUUGGAGUUAGCAGUCUUUAUCUCCGCUUCUUGAUCCGCCAGCCGGGUCUUUGCAUCCGUCAAUUGAGAUCCCAAUUCAGUUAGGGCGGUCUACAAACAUGCAUAGGUGUGUCAAAAUUUAAACACAAGUUAUAUUGAUUAAAGUCGCGAGUGCUUUGCAACGCAACACCACUUGGCACUUGGGGGCUAAUGUCUGCCAAAGCAAUUUUAUGCAAAAUGACUCUUCUAUGUUUCAAGUCCCAAGUGUUUUACAAAGUAACAACGCUUGGCACUUGGGGGCUAAUGCAUGAUAUUCAGAAAGUUUUUCAAGAUGAGCCGGAUCACACUACUUAUUUGGACUAAUCUAAGACAGUUAUGAAGUUAAGUACCGGGUCAUUUAUGAUAAAUUGAGCCGGCCCUUGGGGACUACAUGUGAAGUUUAUACUAAUCCGUUGAACUUAGGAAAAAUCUAAAGACAAGGUAUCAACCUAUAUCAUAAGUCUACAGAUCAUUCAGGUUCAUCAUAAUCUGAAGACUUGGGGGCUGGCAGAGUAUAUAUAAACCGGAGAACGUACCUCAUAUUCUGUAACAUCCCAAAUUUUCAAUUUGGAAUGUUACACGUUAGGUCAUCAUGCAUAUCAUAUUUUAUUUUUCUUUUGGUUUUGAUCCUAGAAAAUCCUAAGCAACUCAAGGACCCACGGAGAGAGUUGGGGAUUUCAUUAUUUACAUAUUUGAGUUUUCUCAAAUUAUGUAAACAGGAUCAUUUGAUUUUAUUUAUUCUAUCAUCAAUUAUUUCUAUUACAAAAAUAUGAGAGAGGGAAUAAAAUGACUUUUCCAAAAUAUAGAAAUAUUGAGGAUUUAAUAAAAAAUCAAAUAAGUUUUAUUUCGGAGUUUUUUGGUAUUUUUAUUUGAAUUUAGGAAAAAUGCGCGUUUUUCAAAUUGUAGUUUGGGCCCAGAUAAAUGUUCACUUUAUCGGGCUUGAUUUUAGGAACCCGGCAAAAUUUAUUUCGUGAUUUUUGGAGUCCGUUUAGUAUUUCUUUUUAUUUUUCUUCCGAGCGGAUUUAAAAAAAAACUAGAACCGACUCCGUGCCGUAACCGGCCAGGAAACCUCCGCCCGGGGCCUUUAUAUAGCGCCCGAACCGGCCGAGAGAGAGAGAGAGGCCCGAAGCCAGCUAACCCUAACCCUAGCUAAGCCGCCGCCGCCUCCCAGCCGUCGCCGCCCGCCGCUGCCGACUCGCCGGAGCGCGCGCCUUUCGAGGUUCGCCGCCGCCUCGUUUUCCGUGAAGUUUUUUUUUAAAAAAAAAAUCUGUUCGUCGUUUUUCUUUUUCGUCGGAUUUUCCGCGGUUAUUUUCUGAUCGCGAUUUCUGAUCCGGUUUUCGUUUUAGUAUAACUUUUCGCUCGUUUAUCGGAAUCAGGCGAUUCAAGCGCCUGGAGUUUCGUCUCGAAACCCUCUUUCCGAAUAAUCAACUUAAACAAGUUUUUGCUACUGUAAAAUUUGCCCUAGAUCCAGAUUACUAGAAGGAAGUUGUUUUUUUUGCCGUUUGAUUUCUUUCGCUUCGUUCGAUUUGAUUCUUUUGCCAACCAGGGUUCUUAAGUUGAACUUUCUGGUUAGAUCUUCUAUUUGAGUUUUACUUGUGCAUUAGAUGAGUACUUAUUGUAUGCUUGAUGUUUGUCUGUGAUAGAAUACCCGGAGUGCGCCGCCUGUUACUUCGAAUCUCUAGGUUUCGCGGAUCAUCAGCAAGGCAAGUAACACUUUGAUCAUACCUUUUCUACAACCCAGUUUUAUUGCAUUAGAUCAAUCCUCACACAUUGCAUGAUUAGGAUCUAAUUAAAUUGUGGGAUGGGAAGUAGAUGAGGUAGUACCUAUUACCUGUUUAUUAUCAAACCUUUGGGAGUUACUUCUACGUUUGCUUAUGCCAUGUUAUGCCGGUAGACGUGGAUUGGGUGAGUGAUAUCCAUGACAGAUGUGAGAUUUAUAAUUAAGGGUUAUCUAAGGUGGCAACCUAACACACAUCUGGGUGGAUUGAGGCACCUGGGGUUACCAGGACUUGCCUGUUUUCUUUUGGACCGCCACCCAGGCCCAAAGGGAUCAUGAGAUUUUUCAUACUAGAAACUUCCGUGUGCAGCCACAAGCCAUUAUGGGCUCUGGCAUAGUUGACUAAGUUGUGCGAACUCUUACAGUGGUAGACUAGCAGAUGUAGGGGAAAGUAGGUGUACCGGUCUACCCGUCGUAAGGUGCUAGCGCUUCUGAAAGACUGUGUCUCGGUCAUCCGUUUCUCAAACACCUUGUAGUGCGAGAAACCAAACGGAGGUGAUCGAGUCUUGUGGGGAAAAGUGCGCAAACCUCUGCAGAGUGUAACAAACUAAUCAUGGUUAGCCGUGUCCCUGAUUAUGGACAUCUUGAGUAUCUAUUACCUGGAUUAUCAUGUGAAUCUCAACAUGUUACUCUAAAAUUAAUUUUGUGGGAUUUUAAUGAUGUUACUUAAUUGGGAUUGAGGAUGCUGUCAACCAUUCUCAAUGUUUAACAACCACCAUGAUAGUAAUUAAUUUUAUUCCUUUGAAGUAGGGAAAAAUUGGCUUUACGCAAAAACUGUAACCAUAGAGCUUUCCACCAGCCAAAUAUGCAUAUAGUAUAGUUGUUGCAUUCCAUUACUCUCUAUGUGUUACCUUGCCAGCAUAUUCCAUGUGCUGACCCGUUUCGGGCUGCAACGUUAAUGUUGCAGACUUUUCAGAUGACGAUUGAGGAAUUUUAGGUCGUGGUUCUAUACUCAGUGAUGCCGUUGGAGUUGAUGGACUCACUUAUCUUCCAAGCCUUCCGCUGUUAUCGUUAUUAGAUGGCCUUAAGCCAUAUUUAUUGUAAUAAGUUCUCUUUUGAGACACUCGAUGUAAUAAGUGUGUGAUUGCUACUCUGCUAUAAAUCCUCCGAGUACUGUGUGGUGUCAGCAUUACUGAUCCAAGGAUGACAUCGGAGCACAGAGAUCAGACUGUUUAAGGUCUGGUCGCUACAUAUUCCAGUUGCAAUUGCUUGACCAUCUCAAUUUCCGAGUCACGGCUGGAAUGCACAGGACUGAGAUAGCCGGACAGCAUGUCACUAACAUUCAGAUGAGCAUAGUGAGAGAUAUCAAAUUGUACUUUCUGUCUUUCCAAGGCCUCCUGUUUAGCAGAAUGCCUGGCCAGCACAGUCGGAUUACCCGGCGCAACAAAUCUGCUGCCAGUGAUCAAAACGUCAUGGUCAGAAGAUGCUGGCAGGUUAGCUGAACCGGACGGUCUGACGGUGGAUGGAUCGACAAUGGUUUCGUCAGCUGACGGCUCAGGAGGGUCCAAUUGAGCAUGGACAGCUAAAUCUUCUGGCGCUUCAGAUUGAGUGGGAGGAGUUGAUGUUGCCAGUUCAGGUGCAGGAUUUUUUGGGUCCUCUGCCGGUUUAAUCACCUUGGCUUUCUUGGACUUUGCUUGACCGCUAAGAAAGAUUUUUAUGAAAUAGUUAGUAUAAUGAUGCAGUUUUAAAAAUGUAGAGGAAAGAUGAUUUUCCUUACCCAUGGGCAGUCUUGAAAGCCGGAAAUUGAGUUUGGGAUGAGUCGCCAGAAGAGCGAGAGACCUCCUGCAAAGGUAAAAUAAAGUUAAGAAUAUAAGGAAAUAAAUUCAUGGAUAAAAACAAAGGACAAAGGUGAAAGAAACCUCAUUCUGGCGUUUUUGAGGAGUUUUUUCUAAGUCGAAAGGUGGUUCAUCAUCAUCAUUAGUCCGGGCCAGAUGGCGGCUCUCAUGUUGCUGCUUUUUCAAAAGAAAAUGAGGGUCCAAAUAAGCCAAAGGGUGCAAAAACCUUACUUUCCGGGUUACCAGUCGAAGUUUCUGUCUCGGCAAAGGGGCUGAGUCGUAGGAAAUAGUUACCUCUUCUUCCGCGGCCUGGCUGGCCCCCGUGUCAUCCUGGCAAUAGUCAGUGUCAAUAAGAUAGUUGAAAAUUUGGCCAAGGGAGAAAGGGCUACCUCCGACUCAGAAACAUCAUCAAGCUGGAAGAUGUCAGAUGCAGUCUUCUUCUUGGGCUUCCGGGUCGUUCUCUUGGCGGCUACGGCAGCGGAUCUAGCCUUCUUGGUAGCUUCAUGAUCAUACUUGGCCUUCCAGAAGUCAGAUUUGUCCUGUAAACAAAUAAAGAGGUUAAAAGGUCAUGCAAGUAUUUAAACUACUGAGGUAAACACAAAAAGAGAAAAAGGUCAAGAAGUUACCUCUGGUGUCGGGUUAAGUUUGCAGAAGGGGUUUAAUCCAACCUUGCUGUAGUCCUCGUAUUUGCCAUUCACGAGGAUGGUAGACAUUGCAACAAUGUCUUCUUCAGUUAAUUGUACAGAGCUAUAACGCAGAGAAUCAUUUGGGCCUCCGCCAUACUUAUACAUCAACUUGGAUCGGCGGCUUAGAGGGAUGACCCGCCAUGAGAUCCAGCAAUGGAUCAGGUCAACUCCGGUUAAGCCAUUUCCCAAUAAAGCUUGAAUCCUUUUGACAGAUGGGAUAAGCUUCUUGCGUUCAGCAGUAGUAAGCUUGUCAGGGAGCACAAACUUGGAAUCAAGACGCUCUUCACGAUAACCCGGCAGUGGUUUUUCAUCAGCCGGUGAUGUAUCUUGGCAGUAGAACCAGGUUUGCUUCCAGUCUUUGGGAUGGCUCGGUAAGACCACUAAAGGAAAAACGGCACCUUGUCAGCGUUGAAUUGAAAUUCUGCCAAGUUCCAAGCUAAGGCCGUUGGUGCACUCAUUCUGGCGGUUCAAGUAAAAGUACUCUCUAAAGAGCUCCACAGUUGGUUCUUCUUGAAGAUAUACCUCACAAAGAACUUGAAAAUUGCAGAUGUUGGAUAUAGGGUUGGGUCCAAUAUCUUGUGGAUGAAGCUUGAAAAAAUGCAGGACAUCUUGGACGAACUUUGAGCCGGGUGGUGAGAAGCCCCGGUUCAUGUGAUCUGUGAAAACGAUAACUUCGCCGUCUUUGGACUAAGGUCGUUCUUCGUCCGGGUCAGGAGCACGAUAAGACAUAACGCUUUUCUCUGGCAAAAAUCCAAUGGUGACAAAUUAUUUCAAGGUAUCUUCAGUAACUGUGGAAGGCACCCGGUUGCAGACAGUUGGCGCUUUUGACGGCAUGAUGAAGAAAGGGCAAGCUGAAAAGAAAGUAAUUUGCCGGUUCAAUUUAUUGGUGGAGUUACAGGUUCAUGAUUAUAGUACAGAUGAGUAAUGGCGGCUUAAGUAAGGGCUAAUGACAUGUAAAGGAAAAAUAAGCCGGAGUCAUAAGCCGCCAUGACUAAAAAGUAUUUGAAGGUUGCCAGAAUCAAAAUUGACUAAAGUGUUGAGACAAACAGGUUUCCCAAGUUGUGGCUAUUAUUAUGGAUCAAAAUGGUUCAGAAAAUAAAAAUAAAGUUAGACCUAGAAAACGAGCACAGAGGAGUUUGUCAGCUCUAAAGAGGCAUUUAUACAGGAGAAGGGGAUCUGUUAGCUUCAAAAAUGGAUGAGAAAUAGCUACCUCAUAAGUUUUGUACUACUUUUAGAUCAAAAGAGGGUGCGGUAAGAGAAGUUGCAACGAAUCUAUGACGAACAACGAAGAACACAAGAAGGAAACCUCCCGAACCCUAAUGCAGAUCUAUGGGGGUGAGAAGGUGAGAGCUUACAGGUGCGGAGCUGCUGCGGAGGAUCGCCACCGUUCUCUGGAUAGACUCAGGGUGAUGCUGCGGCCAGAGUUGAGGACGACGGUGCGCUACGGUGGCGACGGAGCUCGAGCGGCAAAGAAGGUGCGAGAGGAAGAAGAAAGAGGAAGGACUGGCCGAGCCUAUUUAUAAGGGGGUAAGUGAACGGGCAGACGCAAAAAUUGAGGAAGACCAAAGUAAUGAUUAUCCAGCUAAAUGGACGCCUCGAUCUUCGGAAAACAUUUAAGAUAAGGAUCCGUUGAAGAUGAAAUCGUGGUGUUUUUCCAAAUUUUUUCAAUCCUAAUGGUUGGUUAAUAAAAUAAGCUCAGUGAAUAUACAAGGCGAUAGUUUAUUAUAAGACUUGUAGUAGGCCCAAGCCCAAAGGCGGUUUAAGGCCCAUAAUUGUAAACCGCCAUGUAUAAGAAAGACUUGUAAAGAAAGGCAUGUAAGAGAAGUCACCGAGCCGAACACGUUAUAUGAGCCGGCCGGGACUCUGUAGGCUGCCAGGCGUCAACCCAUGUAUAUAAGGGGAUGACCCGGUGGCUGCUUAGGACAAGUAACAUCAAAUCAAGAGCCAUGCAUAGCGUAUUUGCUCCCUGAUCAUCGAAACCUAGCAAUAUCACAUCAACUGGACUAGGCUUUACCUUCACCGUAAGGGGCCGAACCAGUAUAAACCUUUCGUGUCCUUUGUCCCGAUUAACCCCUUUAAGCUUCCUAGUUGCGAUGGCUCCACGGCUAAGUCCUUUCACUAGGACAUCAUCCGUGACAAUUCCACGACAACUCUGGUGCGGAUCUUACUAUGGUUGACCUACGAGGUUCAGCGGUAACUUGAUCUGAAGUUUCAUGAUCAUCAUCAUUAGCUUCCUCACUAAUUGGUGUAGGAAUCACUGGAACUAAUUUCUGUGAUGAACUACUUACCAAUUCGGGAGCAGGUACAAUUGCCUCAUCAAGUUCUACUUUCCUCCCACUCACUUCUUUCGAGAGAAAGUCCUUCUCUAGAAAGGAUCCUUUCUUAGCAACGAAUAUAUUGCCUUCGGAUCUGUGAUAGAAGGUGUACCCAACAGUCUCCUUUGGGUAUCCUAUGAAGACACAUUUCUAUGAUUUGGGUUCGAGCUUAUCAGGUUGAAGCUUUUUCACAUAAGCAUCACAGCCCCAAACUUUAAGAAACGACAACUUAGGUUUCUUGCCAAACCACAGUUCAUAUGGUAUCAUCUCAACGGAUUUAGAUGGUGCCCUAUUUAAAGUGAAUGCAGUCUGAAAGUGCGUUAUAUCGACUAGAGGGGGGGUGAAUAGGCGAUUUUUAUGAAAGUCUUCAAAACAUGGAAGUUUCGAAGACAAACGAUAGAAAUAAACCUAUUACCAUGCAGUGGAAGUUAGACUACACUAGAUAAACCGUAGUCAUGUAUUCAAUGAAGUGAAAGGACAAUGACUAAUAGUAGCUAGGUAGUAAGGAUCAGGCAGGAAGAUAUUAAGAAGCCAAACGGAUCACACAGUCACUCAGUGAAGACAAAAGAUAGAGAAAACAUACAAUGACUUCACACAGAGUAACAGUAAGUAAAGAGAAGGGAAGGAUGAAACCAGUGACUCGUUGAAGACAAAGAUUUGUUGGACCAGUUCCAGUUGCUGUGACAACUGUACGUCUGGUUAGGGCGGCUAGGUAUUUAAACCAAAGGACACACAGUCCCGGACACCCAGUCCUGAACACGCAGCUCAGGACAUCCAGUCCUCACCGUAUUCCCCUUGAGCUAAGGUCACACAGACCUCGCCCAAUCACUCUGGUAAGUCUUCAAGGUAGACUCCCAAACCUUCACAGACUUCGUUCACCGGCAAUCCACAAUGUCUCUUGGAUGCUCAGAACGCGAUGCCUAACCAGCUGGAGGAUGCACAGUCCUCAAGUGUAAUAAGUCUUCAGAUCACUCAGACAAGAAGACUUAAGUGAUGCCUAAUUCUCUUUCGCUCUGGGUGGUUAGGGCUUUAUCCUCGCAAGGAAUUCUCUCUCAAAGGCUUCGAGGUGGGUUGCUCUCAAACGACAAAAGCCGUACUUUGAAUCUGAGUAGCCAACCGUUUAUGGUUGUAGGGGGUGGGCUAUUUAUAGCCACUAGGCAACCCGACCUGAUUUGUCCGAAAUGACCCUGGGUCACUAAGGAACUAACAUGUGUUCCAACGGUCAAAUUUCAAACUCACACGGAAACUUUACUUGGGCUACAAGCAAAGCUGACUUGUCCGACUCUGGACAAGAUUUUCUCUCAUAGUCUUCACUCGAAGACAUAGGUUUUUGUUUAAGCAUCACUUUAGUCAUUCUGACUGGCUCUCUUGGACCCCACUUAACAGUAUGUUGGUUCCUAUGACUCAACACAGAAGAAAAAGAACUACGAAAAAUCUAAGUGUUCAAGCUCCAUAGGCUUCAUGCGGUGUCUUCUCUUGUCAUAGUCUUCAAUGUGAAUAUCUUCAUAUACCACCUUUGACAUCAAUGUCUUCAUACACUUUUAGGGGUCAUCUCUGGUGGGAAAACCGAAUCAAUGAGGUACUUCUACCUGUGUUAUCCUGCAAUUCUCACAAACACAUUAGUCCCUCAACUAGGUUUGUCGUCAAUACUCCAAAACCAACUAGGGGUGGCACUAGAUGCACUUACAAUCUCCCCCCUUUUGGUGAUUGAUGACAAACUAGUUGAAGUUUUCAACGGGGAAUAUAAUGUGUGAAAUUGUAAAGGAUAAGGAAUUGUCUUCAUAAGUUACAAGGGCUCCCCCUGAAGAUGUGCAUAUAAGUAAUUUGCUUUUGGAAUGCAAAUGCACAUGGCAGGUUGUGCUUGUGGAGAUCCACUUCAACUUAUGAUGACAAUCCACUAUGCAUGUGAAAGUAUGUGAAGAUAAUGACAUGCAUAAUGGAAAAUGGAUGUCUGCAGAAUGAUCUAAGUGCGGAAUCUAUCAUCGCACAUGCGGAAUUUAUCAUCACAACACAAGGUAGCAAAUAGGUAGCAGACGACCAUCAAGUUUAAGUGUUACAACUCAAAGAACCAAAUGUUUCAAAACGAGAGUUGUAAGCACGAAGCAAAAUAUAAAACACCCGCCCAUAUGGACCCAUUUGAAGACUAUCAAACUCAUAUGCUUCUCCCCCUUUUGACAGUAAGGACCAAAAAGGUUUGAAGACAUAGAGCCUCUACUCGUUCCCAUGAGGAGUAGGUGAAGCAGCAGGAUCGUUGAUGGUGUUUGGCAGUGCAGACGAGCUUGGAGCAGUGUCGACGUGUGCUGAAGGAGGCGGCGAAGAAGUAGCAUCGUCUUCAUCCUCGAUCACUCUGGCAUUCACGGUUGCAGUAGAGGAAGAGAACUCAGGGUCUUCAAGUGAUGGAGUUCGUCGCAGCACAGCCCUGCGAGGAGGUGUGGAGUCAAACUUGAAGCGCUCAGUGAAGCCAUCCUCUUGCAGAUCAUCUUCAGAACACAGCAGCGUCAGCCCUUUCCAUGUGCGUCGAGAUGUUUCAUGAGCAACAAAGGCGUUCUUGGUGGCAAGAUUGUGAAUGCGAUUAACAUCCACCAAGAGGCUUUGCAUUUGACGCUUUAGCCAGUCAUGAUGCCUAUCCUGUUUCUGAUGAAGGGCCACCAGAAGCUCUCGGUCAUUGAGGACACGAGUGCGCUUCUUGGGUCGUUGAGCAAUGGUGCUAUCAGUGGCUUCAGUAAGAGCAGGAUGCGGGGCACGGGUAGUGCCAGCCAAAGGAUACACACGUGUUACUGCUUCAAUGCCUUCAACGUUCCGAGAGAAACUUUGAUGCUCUGCAUUCUGAAGACUUAGAGGUUCCUUGGCAGGCUCAGGAUAUAUGGCUUCAAUAGACAUAUCCACAUCAGGCAAAAAGAUCCGAUGAUUGCGGGCAGAUGGCUGAUAUGAGAUAGCAGAGUGAAGUUUGAUCAGCCGCAUCACCCAAGGGGCGUAGAACUUCAACCCAAAUAGAUCAGAGCCAGAUGCAGCAAGUUGGCGAAUGAAGAAAUCCUAUGUAUUGAAGCAUUUUCCAUGAAGAAUAUAGAAGACCAAAGUCUUCAUUGCACCUUCCAGCUGGGCAUGGGGAGAAUGUCCUUUGAUUGGCCAGAGAGUUCGCCUUAUGAUAUGAUAAAUGGUCCUUGGCAGAUACUCAAGGUCUUCAACAAAGAACUCCGUGGGAUAAGCAGCAUCUUGGGGCAAUGGCUUCAUCAUACUGAGCAUCUGACUCAUAUUGGGUUCAGUCUUCUGAAAGAUGCUCUCAACAGCUUCAAUGUGAAGCUGACAGCCAUGCUCAUAGAGAUCGCCAGGAGUGGGCAAGCCAGUGAGCUCAAUGAUGUCAAAGACUUUGGCUUCGUGAUGAACAUUUCCAGUCAUCCACUCUAGGACCCAAGUCUUUGGAUCUCUGUUAUACCCGCGGAUGUGAAGUGUGGCAUAGAACUGGAGCAGCAACUCUUCAUUCCAAUGCUCUUGGUCAGUGACGAAUGGUAGCAGCCCAACUUCAUUGAAGCAAUCCAAAGCUUCUUCCAGACAGGCAGACCAGCUAUAGCUUCAAUGUCAAGGCGCUUGUGUGGGAAGAUGCGACCUUUGUUGUAAAGAAUGCAUGAGUAAUAGCUUCGCUGCUGAUAGCUCCAGAACCGAUCAGAUGAUAUUCUUUCCCUGGAGUAGGGGUUCCUGGAGCUAUUGAAGAAUGUGUUGUCUGCUCUGAAGCCAUUGAUGUUAAAGGAGCCAGGUGCUAAUGCAGGACCUGGGAACCUGGGCAAUCUUGGGAUUGGCUUCUGGACCUGAGGCCUGUGCUCAACAUGAUAGUCGAAUUGGGGACCGGCAGCAGACGCAGGAACAGGAGCAGCAGGAUUAGUGGCUUCGCUGACUUCUGGUGCUGUUGGGGGUGAGGGCUCCACAUUAGCUUCAGCCAUGACGGUGUCAGUGGCUUCAGUGGUGUUGGUGGUGGCAGCCUCUAGAUUUUCAACCUCCACUUGACGAGCUGGAGGGUCGGUCAUGAUCACGUUCUCCUCGAGAACCGCUUCUUGGUGGGGCAGGGGAGUAGCAGCUUGUGGAACUUCUUCUUCCGUGGCUGAUGCAGCUAGAUUGUCUUCAGCAGAGACUUGAGGCCUUGGACCUUUGUGAAGCCUGCGCAACGCGGGCGAUGCCUGUGGAGCUGGAGUGGGCUGGGCCUCAUAGUCUUCUUCCUCUUGUUGGCGAUCCGCCCAUGAAGCAUCCUGUGCCAUUGGCGUCAGUGGACGACCAAUGCUGAUGAGUUCGUUGUUUUCAAGCUGAGGAAGAACUGCACCAUCUUCUACAUGGUCAUGUUGACCAAUGUCUUCAGCAGUGAUGGGAUCAGCUGUUGGAAAGUCUUUAGCUUUAUGAGCCUCUGUGGAAGCAGGCUCAUGGAUUGUCAGUUGGCGUUCAGCUUCAGGAUAGACCAUUGAAAUAGGUUCAACUAUCAAAGGCUCUGUGGGAGCAGCCUGUUCCUUCUUGGUCUUUCGUUUCUUCUUGGAGGGGGCAGUAGGAGAGGCUUCAGGAUGUUUCCUCUUCCUGGCUUCAGCCUCAGCAGUCCUUGUCUUCUUGAGCUCUGAAGCGGUUGACCGGCUUUUUGGCUUCAAGCCAGUCAGUCUAGUUGGGAAGACAAUCGGAACUGCUUCCUGCCUUGGUGCGUCGGAUUCAGCCGUAGCAGUCUUCUUCUUCUUCUUUGCGGCCAUCCUAGGGUCAAUGCCAGGACGCCCAAGGGCCUUGCGCUUCUCAGCCUCAUUGUAGGCUUGCACACAUCUGUCAGCCAGAGCCUUCAUGCGCUCACGUGAAUCCCGAGCUUCUGCACAUUUCUUCAGAAAGGCUUCCUUGAGCUCGUGCAUCAUGAUCUUGAAGUUCUUCACUUCUUGCACACUGAGCUUGGCCAUAUGCUUCUUGAACUGAGCCUUUUCAUAGUCAAUCUUCUGCUUUAGUUCAACAACGUGUCGGGCGAUGGCUAGCUCUGAAGCAAUGGCGCCUUGGAAGGCGACACUGAGGCCAAUGGGUAGCUGCAGAUCAUCAAAGCUGAUGUUUGGCAUAUCAAACCACUCGUCAAUGAAGUUGUGGAUGAUGGUUACAUCAAAGAGAGGCAGAUCAUUGAAGAUUUCGGCUUCUUCUUUGCUCUUGAUGAGUUGCUCAAGAGCGUCAUCUGCAAGAUCUUCAUCACUUGACAGAUCAAUGUCAUCAUUGCGCAGAAUGGCAGCAGCUGUUAGCUCUUGGCCGGUGUGUGGCAGAGGCAUCUUGGCCUUCUAGGGCUUGGAGAUGCGUGAUAAAUCUUCGGACUGCACACUGUCUUCAGGAGAUGCAGUUGCCAGUGGCUUCGCCCUUGAGAUUUUUGGUGAAGGGGCAGGCUUUGAAGCUUUGGGCUUCUUCAACUUCUUUGGUGUUGGCGCUGCAGGCGCUUCAUCUGAUUCAGCGUUAGCUGCAGGCUCAUUCACGGUUGUCCCUUGAACCAAGAUAUGGGUGAUGAGUCCUGCAAGGUUGUAGAAAGGACCGACGACAUUGGGUUCCGCAUCGCGUGUGCCGUCAGCCCUUGGAGCAGAAGGACCAGGGUUGAAGUCUAAUCCAAAAGACUUCUUGUUCUGCUUUGCUGAGUUCUUGGCAAACUGGAAGUUGCGCUUGAAUAGAUUGUCGUCACGGCACCAUAGUAGUGACGAUGGGUGUGCAUCUGCAGGCUGUGGCCCACGCACCAUGCAGGGAUAGAAGCCUUGUUCAAUGGCUUCUUCUCUGGACCUGGGUUGAAGAUUCUUGUAUAGGAUGUCUCCCCAUGGUCUCUUGAUGGCAUUUCUCUCAGCAUAUUCCUGGGUCACAAACCGGUAUUUGAACCAUUGUUCUGCCCAAUAUCUUCGAAUCCAUUGGAUUCGGGUCUUGCGCUGAUUAUAAUCCUGUUCAGGAUCUGUCUUGUAAAGCUCUGAGAGGUCAUCAGGAAAAUCUCUUGAUGUCCCCCCACGACGCUGUCUGCCACCCUUCCUUACUGAUUUCUCUGCAGCCAUGAACUUCAAACUGAAAGGCUUCAAAACGUUCAAAGGCUUCAAAGGUUUUCGCUUGCUGGACAAACAGGAACUGGCUUCGGGAGAAUUUAUAUGAUGCUGUAAGAAUUCUGCAAAUGAAUGCAGACUAUGAGAACCAAGGGAUUCUCCCAUGGACAUGUACCUGUGACAACAUUAAGGUGCAAGGGAAGGGGAAGAGGUCAUAUGCAUUCUCAGGAGAUUUUGAAGAUAAAUCAGUUUAGAAGACAUUGACCUCAUCGUGCGAAGACAUUCACUCAUAGAUAAGGAGUUGGUUCCAGAUUUGUACGAAUCCAGUGAUCAGUACAAGUGAGGAAUCUAACUACUUGUGAAGCAUAAGUGAAUAUACUAGGCAUGUUAUGAGAUGCAGUAGGAAAGAGAUCCAACUUGUGUGAAUAGAAACUUCUUAUGGUAGAAAGUGACAAAGCCAUAGGAUCAAAAGGGGCCGUAAAAAGAAGUUUUAUUUACCACACUUGGAACUGCUAGAUGGAGUGGAAGAGGAGGCCGAGCAGUUCGAUCUUCUGUGCCCUAACUUGGCGACGAAGGACACCUACGGCGACGGCGGAGAGGACGAUGUCCGCGGUCGGUGUGAAGACGGCGUCGGAGAGGUUGCGGCAGUGAAGCGCUUCGUCGCCGGCGUCGUCGAGGGCUAGCAGUGGCACUAGGGUUCGUGCGAGGGUGGAAGAAGAGAUGAUGACCGCUGUGAAGGGUGUAUUUAUAGGUACAGGGGCGGCACUGCGUUAUUACACAGGUGCCCCUGGCGAUUCACAUCUGAGGAACACGUGGCCAUCAUGCAGUAUAUUGGGGUUUGUUCCACGUCUCACGCACGCCUAGAUUGUCGGGUGGUCGUUCCUACUUCUCCGGGUUUCAUGUGGAGGAAUGGGCAUUGAAAACGGACUUAAUGUUUGUCUCUGUAUGUUCUGCUGACAAGGACGCAGAGAAGACAUUCGACAGUUUCAAUAGAAUGCAUAUGAUUUGGAGAGAUAGAGUUUGAGAUAGAGAGCACAGAGAGGUUAGGGUCCGAUCACAUUCACUUAGAUCAAAAGAUUCAACAAGAAGACAUAGCUAUAAGUGAAUACUGUAGAGGACAGAACACUAGUAUAUAUAUAUAUAUAUAAUCAACAUAGUGAAGAUAAUCAUGAAAACAUGUUGAGAUUGAAACCAAACCAAAUGUGAAGUCAUAGCAAGGUAAUGCCAUGAGUGAAACACUUCAAAUAGAACAUUUGGUGGUGGCGUUACCCACCGUAUAGGAAGUAUUAGACCCAGACACGGCGCACAAUUAUCGUGGCGCUCCGAAGUCAAAUUCCACAUUAAUGUAUUCACACUUAGAAUGUAUGUCUUCAUUGAUUGAAGAUAUACUUUACUUCGUGUGUUGCACAUCUAAGUCAUCAAUAUGCAUAAGGGUUAGGAUGUGUGCCUGAUCACAGGACAUUUGAGGAUUCCAGGAUAUUUAGCUCACAUCGUAACUUGCAAAAUCUCUUCUCAUCCAAGGGCUUGGUGAAGAUAUCUGCCAAUUGCUCUUCAGUGUUGACGUGUAUGAUAUCAAUAUCUUCCUUCACAACAUGAUCUCUGAGAAAGUGAUGACGAAUUUCAAUGUGCUUUGUCUUCGAGUGCUGAACAGGGUUGUUGGCAAUCUUGAUGGCGCUUUCGUUGUCACAGUAGAGUGGCACUUGCUUCAGAUGAAUGCCAUAGUCCUUGAGGGUUUGCUUCAUCCACAGAAGCUGAGCGCAGCAAGAUCCAGCAGCAAUGUAUUCAGAUUCAGCAGUGGAGAGAGAUACACAGUUCUGCUUCUUUGAAGACCAACAUACAGGUGAUCGUCCCAGAAAAUGACAUGUGCCUGAUGUAGACUUGCGAUCCACCUUGUCACCAGCAUAAUCAGCAUCCGAGAAUCCAACCAGAUCAAACUCUGAGCCCUUUGGAUACCAUAAUCCUAGAGUUGGGGUGUGAGCCAAAUAUCGAAGAAUUCGCUUCACAGCUAGGUGAUGCGACUCCUUUGGUGCCGCUUGAAAUCGAGCACACAUGCAAACACUAAGCAUAAUAUCUGGCCUAGAUGCACAUAGAUAAAGCAAAGAACCAAUCAUGGAGCGGUAUACCUUUUGAUCGAACUCUUUACCAUUGUCGUCAGGACCCAGAUGAUGCUUGGCUGGUAUUGGCGUCGUGAACCCUUUGCAGUCUUGCAUACCGAACUUCUUAAGGCAAUCCUUGAGAUGCUUCUCUUGAGAUAUGAAGAUGCCGUUGCGUUGCUGUCGUAUUUGAAUACCGAGGAAAAACUUCAGCUCUCCAUCAUGGACAUCUGAUAUUGCUCUUGCAUCAUAUAUCCAAACUCUUCACUGUACUUCUGAUUGGUGCAGCCGAAGAUAAUGUCAUCCACAUAUAUUUGGCACACAAACAGUUAACCAUCAUAUGUCUUCGUGAAGAGAGUGGGGUCGAGGGAACCAGGUAUGAAGCCUUUGCUCUUCAGGAAGUAUUUGAGUGUGUCAUACCAGGCCCGAGGGGCUUGUUUGAGGCCAUAUAGUGCCUUGUUGAGCUUGUAUACCGUAUCAGGAUGUUUUAGAUCUUCAGAGCCAGGUGGUUGUGCAACAUACACUUCUUCUUCAAUCUUUCCAUUGAGAAAGGCGCUCUUCACAUCCAUUUGAUAAAGAAGUAUGUUGUGAUGAUUUGCAUAGGCCAGCAGUAUGCGUAUGGCUUCAAGUCUAGCCACAGGAGCAAAUGUUUCAUUGAAGUCAAUGCCUUCCACUUGAGUAUAUCCUUGAGCAACUAGACGAGCUUUGUUUCUGACAACUUGACCAUGCUCAUCUUGCUUGUUGCGGUAUAUCCAUUUUGUGCCUAUUAUGUUGUGCUUCCGAGGAUCAGGACGCUUAACCAGUUCCCAUACAUUAUUCAGCUCAAACCGUUGAAGCUCUUCUUGCAUAGCUUGAAUCCAUUCAGGUUCCAUGAAGGCUUCUUCCACUUUCUUGGGUUCUGUUAUUGAGACGAAUGCGAAGUGCCCACAGAAAUUUGCCAGCUGGGUUGCCCUUGAUCGACUGAGCGGACCAGGUGCAUUGAUGCUGUCAAUUAUUCUCUCAAUUUGCACUUCAUUGGCAACACGAGGAUGUACAGGGCGAAGACUUUGCUCUUGCUGAUCAUUGUCGUUGUUGGAGGGAUUGUCUUCAGGUUGAGCAUUGUCUUCAGGUUGAUCUGGUGCAGAGAUGAUGAGUUCCUCUUCAGGAUGAGCUUUAGAAGGUAUGAUUUCUCCAGUUCCCAUUAGCUUGAUUGAUUCACUGGAUGGAACUUCAUCUAGCACAUUUGGCAGGUGCUCUCUUUGUGAACCGUUAGUCUCAUCGAACCGCACAUCCACGGUUUCAACCACUUUAUAAUGAAAGAGGUUGAAGACUCUGUAGGAGUGCGAAUCCUUUCCAUAUCCAAGCAUAAAACCCUCAUGUGCUUUUGGGGCAAACUUUGAAGUGUGAUGUGGGUCCUUGAUCCAGCACCUUGCGCCAAAUACUCUGAAGUAACUGGCAUUUGGCUUCUUGCCAGUGAGGAGCUCAUACGAUGUCUUGUUCAGAAGCUUGUGAAGAUAAACACGAUUGAUUGUAUGGCAUGCAGUAUCAAUGGCUUCAGGCCAGAAUUUUCUUGGAGUCUUGUAUUCAUCUAGCAUUGUUCUGGCCAUCUCAAUGAGUGUUCUGUUCUUGCAUUCGACGACGCCAUUCUGCUGUGGCGUGUACGGGGCUGAGAAUUCAUGUGUGAUGCCCAAGGUAUCAAGAUAUGUAUCAAGGCCAGUGUUCUUGAAUUCAGUGCCAUUGUCACUUUUGAUGUGCUUUAUCUUGGCACCAUAGUUGUUCAUUGCUCGAUUGGCGAAGCGUUUGAAGACAUCCUGCACUUCAGUCUUGUAAAGGAUUAUAUGCACCCAAGUGUAUCUAGAAUAAUCAUCAAUAAUGAAGAAGCCAUAGAGACAAGCAGUAGUAGUAAGAGUUGAGUAAUGAGUGGGACCGAAAAGAUCCAUGUGAAGCAGCUCGAAGGGUCGAGUAGUAGUCAUGAUUGUCUUCGAGGGAUGCUUGGCCCUCGUCAUCUUUCCUGCUUCACAGGCACCGCAUAAGUGAUCUUUCUUGAACUUGACGCCCUCAAUGCCUAUGACAUGCUUCUUCUUUGCCAGGGUGUGGAGGUUCCUCAUGCCAGCAUGCCCAAGCCUCCGAUGCCAGAGCCAGCAUUCUGAAGCUUUUGCUAGAAGACAUACGGCAAGUUGUGGUCCUGCUGAGAAAUCUACCACGUACAGAUCGUCUUUCCGAUACCCUUCAAACACUAGAGACUUGUCAGAUUCCAUUAGAACAAGGCAACAAUAUUUUCCAAAUAUUACGAUCAUGUUCAAAUCGCAUAGCAUUGAGACAGACAUUAAGUUGAAGCCAAGGGAUUCAACAAGCAUGACUUUAUCCAUGUGUUGAUCCUUUGAGAUUGCAACUCUACCUAGACCCAAUACCUUACUUUUACCAGUGUCAGCAAAUGUGAUGUGGCUCUUGUCGGAAGGACGUAAGGUUGAGUCCAUCAGAAGGCUUCUUUUGCCAGUCAUGUGAUUUGUACACCCACUAUCAGUAAUCCAUUCUGUAUACGCUGGUGUCGUACCCUACAGUGCAGUUAGGGGGAUAGGCUUCACGAAGAGAGUUGUGAAGCAAAAACAUUUGACGAACCAGUGGGUUAUGAAAGCUUAGAUCCAGAUUAGUACUGAUAGGGAGAGUAGCAAGCGAUUCAGGAACGAAGUACAUAGUAAGACCAUUCGGCAUUUGAUCUUGCGCCCUACAAGAUGUUUAAGGUCCCCAGCGAUAGCGUCAGAAGAUUUUGGUUUUCUGCUGGAGACCUUUCCCUGCAAAAGAGAGUUAAGCCUUCUUAACAACCCACAUCUUCAAGGGUGGCUUAGAAGCGAUAAGUCUAAGUGCAGAGUCUGAAAACUUUGGCUUUGGGGCUCUAGCAAAAAGUCUUGCAGGUGGACAAUAAUACUCAUAAGAAUAAGCAGAAUAGUUUUUGGUCUUAUGAACAUGGCGGUUCGAUGAACCGCGCUCAUAUUCAUAGGCCUGAGUAUGGUUUCCCUGCAAAACAUUUGCAUUAGUCCGACUCAGGUGAGUCCUCUGUCUGUAUGAAGCCUUUGGGCCAUAUGAAGCCUGUGGUCUGGGGUUUGUCUUCUUCAUCUAUGGUGUCAUGAUGACAUUCACAGGAAGAUUUUCCAAACACCUUUUGGGCACCCAGACCUUCUUCAUAGGCGGUCCAUUCCUGCAGUUAGUACCAAUGUACCUGGCAAAAACUUCACCAUUCUGAUUCUUAAAUAGUUUAUAGUUUGCAUCAAAGGAUUCAUCAAUGACAAUGGGGUUAGCACAAGUGAAGCCAGAUAGACUGGAUGGAUUUGCUGAAGGUUCCUUUGCAGCAACCCAUGUGGUUUUGGGAUACUGCUCGGGUUUCUAGUAAGAGCCAUCAGCAUUCAUUUUCCUUAUGAACCCAACACCCUCUUUCCUCGGGUUUCGGUUCAGAAUCUGCCUUUUGAGGACAUCACAUAGUGUCUGAUGCCCUUUAAGACUUUUGUACAUCCCUGUUUCAAGCAAUGUCUUCAACCUAGCAUUCUCAUCAGCAAUCGCAGUAGUAUCCUCAGUAGAGGGGUUAGUUACCACAUCAACAGUUGAAGAUAUUGCAACAGUAGCAGUAGUAGAACAUUCAGCAACAGAAGCAGCAUUAUCACGCUCAAUGCAUUUAAGACAUGGUGGUUCAAAUCCUUCCUGAGCGGAACUGAUCUGUUCGGCGCGAAGUGACUCGUUUUCCUUUUGAAGAUCUUCAUGAGCCGCUCUCAAUUUCUCAAGAUCUUGCUUCCUUUGAAGAUAAUCAUAGGAAAGCUUUUCAUGAGUUGUUGAGAGCGUUUCAUGACAACUUUCAAGUUCCUCAUAUUUAACGUGAAGAUUUUUUAUGUCUUGAAUUAAGGAUUCAGAUCGAGUCAUUUCAACGCCCAACAAAUCAUCGCUUUUGUCUAACAGUUUUUGAAUAUGUUCCAUGGCUUUCUGUUGUUCAGUUGCAAUUUUAGCAAGUGUUUUGUAGCUGGGUCUUGAAUCACAAUCAGAGUCAUCAUCACUAGAUGUUUGAUAGUGAGUAGUGCGUGUGUUUACCUUGGCACCGUGUGCCAUGAAGCAGUAGGUAGGAGCAGAGUCGUCCUUGUCAUUUGCAUCGGCGUCGGUGGUGAAGUCAUUGUCUUCAGUGUUGAAGAUGGACUUGGCAACGUAUGCUGUAGCCAGACUUGCAACACCAGAAUCGGACUCCUCCUCAGACUCCACCUCCGCCUCCUCAGACGCGGACUCCUCCUCUGAAUCCAUUUCCUUGCCAACAAACGCACGUGCCUUGCCAGAUGAGCUCUUCUUGUGUGAUGAAGACUUUGAGGAAGACUUGGAAGAAGACUUUGAGUAUUUCUUCUUCUUCUUGUCGUCAGAGUCAUAUUCCUUGCUCUUCUUCUUCUUUCUAUUCUCAUUGUCCCACUGCGGACACUCAGAGAUGAAGUGGCUAGUUUUCUUGCACUUGUGACAUGUUUUCUUCUUGUAGUCAUGAGCAGAAGCUUCAUCAUUCCUUGAGCUUGAUCGUGAAGACUUUCUGAAGCCUUUCUUCUUGGGGAAUCUUUGGAACUUCUUUACAAGCAUAGCAAGUUCCUUUCCAAUGUCUUCAGGAUCGUCAGAACUGCUGUCAGAUUCUUCUUCAGAUGAGGAGACAACUUUUGCCUUCAGGGCACGAGUUCGCCCAUAGUUUGGACCGUAGAUAUCUCUUUUCUCAGAAAGCUGAAACUCAUGUGUGUUGAGCCUCUCAAGUAUGUCGGACGGAUCGAGUAUCUUGAAAUCAGGUCGUUCUUGAAUCAUCAGGGCUAGGGUGUCAAACAAACUGUCAAGUGAUCUCAGUAGUGUCUUGACGACUUCAUGCUUGGUGAUCUCAGUGGCGCCGAGCGCUUGAAGCUCAUUUGUGAUGUCAGUGAGUCGGUCAAAUGUGAGCUGGACAUUCUCAUUGUCAUUUCGCUUGAAGCGGUUAAAGAGGUUGCGAAGAACGCUGAUUCUCUGAUCUCUCUGGGUUGAGACGCCUUCGUUGACCUUGGAGAGCUAGUCCCAGACCAGCUUCGAUGUUUCCAAAGUGCUCACACGGCCAUACUGUCCUUUGGUCAGAUGACCACAGAUAAUGUUCUUGGCAGUAGAGUCCAGUUGAACGAACUUCUUGACAUCAGCAACAGUGACACCUUCUCCAGCCUUGGGAACGCCGUUCUUGACGACAUACCAUAGGUCGACGUCAAUGGCUUCAAGAUGCAUGCGCAUCUUAUUCUUCCAGUAGGGAUAUUCAGUUCCAUCGAAGACGGGGCACGCAACGGAGACUUUAAUUAUCCCUGCAGUCGACAUAGCUAAAACUCCAGGUGGUUAAACCGAAUCACACAGAACAAGGGAGCACCUUGCUCUCAUACCAAUUGAAAGUGCAUUAUAUCGACUAGAGGGGGUGACUAGGCGAUUUUUAUGAAAGUCUUAAAAACAUGGAAGUUUCGAAGACAAAUGAUAGAAAUAAACCUAUUACCAUGCAGCGGAAGUUAGACUACACUAGAUAAACCAUAGUCAUGUAUUCAAUGAAGUGAAAGGACAAUGACUAAUAGUAGCUAGGUAGUAAGGAUCAGGCAGGAAGAUAUUAAGAAGCCAAACGGAUCACACAGUCACUCAGUGAAGACAAAAGAUAGAGCAAACAUACAAUGACUUCACACAGAGUAACAGUAAGUAAAGAGAAGGGAAGGAUGAAACCAGUGACUCGUUGAAGACAAAUAUUUGUUGGACCAGUUCCAGUUGCUGUGACAACUGUACGUCUGGUUAGGGCGGCUAGGUAUUUAAACCAAAGGACACAUAGUCCCGGACACCCAGUCCUGAACACGCAGCUCAGGACACCCAGUCCUCACAGUAUUCCCCUUGAGCUAAGGUCACACAGACCUCGCCCAAUCACUCUGGUAAGUCUUCAAGGUAGACUCCCAAACCUUCACAGACUUCGUUCACCGGCAAUCCACAAUGUCUCUUGGAUGCUAUAACGCGACGCCUAACUGGCUGGAGGAUGCACAGUCCUCAAGUGUAAUAAGUCUUCAUAUCACUCAGACAAGAAGACUUAAGUGAUGCCUAAUUCUCUUUGGCUCUGGGUGGUUAGGGCUUUAUCCUCGCAAGGAAUUCUCUCUCAAAGGCUUCGAGGUGGGUUGCUCUCAAACGACAAAAGCCGUACUCUGAAUCCGAGCAGCCAACCGUUUAUGGUUGUAGGGGGUGGGCUAUUUAUAGCCACUAGGCAACCCGACAUGAUUUGUCCGAAAUGACCCUGGGUCACUAAGGAACUGACACGUGUUCCAACGGUCAGAUUUCAAACUCACACGGCAACUUUACUUGGGCUACAAGCAAAGCUGACUUGUCCGACUCUGGACAAGAUUUGCUCUCAUAGUCUUCACUCGAAGACAUAGGUUUUUGUUUAAGCAUCACUUCAGUCAUUCUGACUGGUUCUCUUGGACCCCACUUAACAGUGCGGUGGUUCCUAUGACUCAACACAGAAGAAAAAGAACUACGAAAGAUCUAAGUCUUCGAGCUCCAUAGGCUUCAUGCAGUGUCUUCUCUUGUCAUAGUCUUCAAUGUGAAUAUCUUCAUAUACCACCUUUGACAUCAAUGUCUUCAUACAUUUUUAGGGGUCAUCUCUGGUGGGAAAACCAAAUCAAUGAGGUACUUCUACCUGUGUUAUCCUGCAAUUCUCAUAAACACAUUAGUCCCUCAACUAGGUUUGUCGUCAAUACUCCAAAACCAACUAGGGGUGGCACUAGAUGCACUUACACAGUCGUCUCUAAAGCAUAACCCCAAAAUGAUAGCAGUAAAUUAGUAAGAGACAUCAUAGAUCGCACCAUAUCUAAUAAAGUGCGGUUACGAUGUUCGGACACACCAUUAUGUUGUGGUGUUCCGUGUGGCGUGAGUUGCGAAACUGUUCUGCAUUGUUUCAAAUGAAGACCAAACACGUAACUCAAAUAUUCACCUCCACGAUCAGAUUGUAGAAACUUUAUUUUCUUGUUACGAUAUUUUUCCUCUUCACUCUGAAUUUUUUUGAACUUUUCAAAUGUUUCAGACUUAUGUUUCAUCAAGUAGAUAUACCCAUAUCUGCUCAAAUCAUCUGUGAAGGUCAGAAAAUAACAAUACCCGCCGCGAGCCUCAACACUCAUCGGACCGCAUACAUCCGUAUGUAUUAUUUCCAACAAGUCUAUUGCUCACUCCAUUGUUCCGGAGAAUGGAGUCUUAGUCAUCUUGCCCAUGAGGCAUGGUUCGCAAGCAUCAAGUGAUUCAUAAUCAAGUGAUUCCAAAAGUCCAUCAGCAUGGAGUUUCUUCAUGCGCUUUACACCAAUAUGACCUAAACGGCAGUGCCACAAAUAAGUUGCACUAUCAUUAUUAACCUUGCAUCUUUUGGCUUCAAUAUUAUGAAUAUGUGUGUCACUAUUGUCGAGAUUCAAUAAAAAUAGAUCACUCAUCAAGGGUGCAUGACCAUAAAAGAUAUUACUCAUAUAAAUAGAACAACCAUUAUUCUCUGAUUUAAAUGAAUAUCCGUCUCGCAUCAAACAAGAUCCAGAUAUAAUGUUCAUGCUUAACGUUGGCACCAAAUAACAAUUAUUCAGGUCUAAAACUAAUCCCGAUGGUAGAUGUAGAGGUAGCAUGCUGACGGCGAUCACAUCGACUUUGGAACCAUUUCCCACGCGCAUCGUCACCUCGUCCUUAGCCAAUCUUCGCUUAAUCCGUAGCCCAUGUUUCGAGUUGCAAAUAUGAGCAACAGAACCAGUAUCAAAUACCUAGGCGCUACUACGAGCAUUAGUAAGGUACACAUUAAUAACAUGUAUAUCAAAUAUACCUUUCACUUUGCCAUCCUUCUUAUCCAUCAAAUACUUGGGGUAGUUCCGCUUCCAAUGACCAGUCCCUUUGUAGUAGAAGCAUUCAGUCUCCGGCUUAGGUCCAGACUUGGGCUUCUUCACUUGAGCAACAACUUGCUUGUCAUUCUUCUUGAAGUUCCCCUUCUUCCCUUUGCCCUUUUUCUUGAUACUGGUGGUCUUGUUGACCAUCAACACUUGAUGCUCCUUCUUGAUUUCUACCUCUACAGCCUUUAGCAUUGCGAAGAGCUCGGGAAUUGUCUUAUCCAUCCCUUGCAUAUUAUAGUUCAUCAUGAAGCUUUUGUAGCUUGGUGGCAGUGAUUGAAGAACUCUGUCAAUGACACUAUCAUCAGGAAGAUUAACUCCUAGUUGAGUCAAGUGGUUGUGGUACCUGGACAUUUUGAGUAUAUGUUCACUAACAAAACUAUUCUCCUCCAUCUUACAGCUGUAGAACUUAUUGGAGACUUCAUAUCUCUCAAUCCGGGCAUUUGCUUGAAAAUUUUACUUCGACUCCUGGAACAUCUCAUAUGCUCCAUGAUGUUCAAAACGUUGUUGAAGUCCCGAUUCUAAGCCGUAAAGCAUGGCACACUAAACUAUCGAGUAGUCAUCGGCUUUGCUCUACCAGACGUUCAUAAUGUCCGGUGUUGCUUGAUACGUCUCCGUCGUAUCUACUUUUCCAAACACUUUUGUCCUUGUUUUGGACUCUAACUUGCAUGAUUUGAAUGGAACUAACCCGGACUGACGCUGUUUUCAGCAGAAUUACCAUGGUGUUAUUUAUGUGUAGAAAUAAAAGUUCUCGGAAUGACCUGAAACUUCAGGGAACGUCUUUUUGGAAAUAAUAAAAAAUCCUUGCAAAAGAUGAAGACCAGGGGGCCCACACCCUAGCCACGAGGGUGGGGGCGCGCCUGCCCCCCUAGGCGCGACCCCUACCUUGUGGGCCCCCUGGAGCUCCUCCGACCUCAACUCCAACUCUAUAUAUUUGCUUUCAGGGAGAAAAAAAUUAGAGAGAAGGAUUCAUCGCGUUUUACAAUACAGAGCCGCCGCCAAGCCCUAAAACCUCUCAGGAGGGCUGAUCUGGAGUCCGUUCGGGGCUCCGGAGAGGGGAAUCCGUCGCCAUCGUCAUCAUCAACCUUCCUCCAUCACCAAUUUCAUGAUGCUCACCGCCGUGCGUGAGUAAUUCCAUCAUAGGCUUGCUGGACGGUGAUGGGUUGGAUGAUAUUUAUCAUGUAAUCGAGUUAGUUUUGUUAGGGUUUGAUCCCUAGUAUCCACUAUGUUGUGAGAUUGAUGUUGCUAUGACUUUGCUAUGCUUAAUGCUUGUCACUAGGGCCCGAGUGCCAUGAUUUCAGAUCUGAACCUAUUAUGUUUUCAUCAAUAUAUGAGUGUUCUUGAUCCUAUCUUGCAAGUCUAUAGUCACCUACUAUGUGUUAUGAUCUGGCAACCCCGAGGUGACAAUAAUAGGGACCACUCCCGGUGAUGACCGUAGUUUGAGGAGUUCAUGUAUUCAUUAUGUGUUAAUGCUUUGGUCUGGUACUCUAUUAAAAGGAGGCCUUAAUAUCCCUUAGUUUCCGCUAGGACCCCGCUGCCACGGGAGGGUAGGACAAAAGAUGUCAUGCAAGUUCUUUUCCAUAAGCACGUAUGACUAUAUUCGAAAUACAUGCCUACAUUACAUUGAUGAAUUGGAGCUAGUUUUGUGUCACCCUAGGUUAUGACUGUUACAUGAUGAACCGCAUCCGGCGUAAUUCUCUAUCACCGAUCCAUUGCCUACGAGCUUUCCAUAUAUUGUUCUUCACUUAUUUACUUUUCCGUUGCUAUUGCUAUCAUCACUACAAAAUACCAAAAACAUUAAUUUUGCUAUCGUUACCUUUUGCUACCGUUACCACUACUAUCAUAUUACGUUGCUACUAAACACUUUACUACAGAUAUUAAGUUUCUAGGUGUGGUUGAAUUGACAACUCAACUUUCAACUGCUAAUACUUGAUAAUAUUCUUUGGCUCCCCUUGUGUCGAAUCAAUAAAUUUGGGUUGAAUACUCUACCCUCGAAAACUGUUGCGAUCCCCUAUACUUGUGGGUUAUCAAGACUAUUUUCUGGCGUCGUUGCCGGGGAGCAUAGCUCUAUUCUUUGAGUCACUUGGGAUUUAUAUCUGUUUAUCAUUAUGAAGAACUUGAGAGAUCCAAAAACCAAGAUUUAUCUCUCAACUACGAGGGGAGGUAAGGAACUGCCAUCUAGCUCUGCACUUGAUUCACCUUCUAUUUUGAGUAAGCUUGCGACACCUAAACCUGCUUCUGCUAUUCAUUCUGAUAUGUCGCAUGUUAUUAAUGAUGCCACUUGUGCUAUGCAUGAUACUUAUGAUGAAACUACUUCUAUGCUUGAUACUACUGUGCCACUUGGUGAAUUUCUUGAUGAACAACUUGCUAGGGUUAGAGAGAAUGAAAUUAUUGAAACUGAUAAUAUAUAUAUAUAUAUUUGAAUAUAUACUGUAGGGUAAAACCCCCACAGCCCUUUAUUGCAGUCUCAAAAAACAAACUGUACAGUGAAAGAAAGAGAUGACAAGCCUAAACGAAAAGUUAAGAAGAACUUACAAUUACAUGAGGGAGUUAACUCAAUCUACAAGCCUAGACUUAGAGCUAUCCUUAAACCUAUGUGACAGGAGAAGAAUGUCAUGUACAAAACUGCCCCUCCAGGCAACAAAAGUAGCCCGUAGUCCCCUGAAAGUUCUUCCAUUUCUCAGAAUCCAUAUAUUCCAAGCAGCUGUGAGCAUAACUUCAAAGAAGAAAGGAUACCCAAAUCGCUGCCUUGCUUGAGAUAUACAUUGCUGAAUAGAAGAACCAUGUGACCAAUCGAUCUGCAGGUAUUUCCAAACCCUGGCACUGAAAUUACAACCAAAGAAUAGGUGAGCCCUGUCCUCCCAAACAAAGGCAUUACAGAUGACACAUAGAUGAUCAGCCGUAGGGGACCUCCGGUGGCUGCGGACCAGCACGUCCUUUGUGUUGAGUCUGUCAAAGAAUAGGAGCCAGCCAAAAACCUUAAUUUUCAUAGUACAUAUGCUCUGCCAAAGCCACCUGCAGGGUUUAAUAGUUGGGAGGUGUGUAUGCAUGAUGUCAUAGAAGCUCUUUGCAGAAAACUGUCCAGAUUUACCAGGCCAAAUCCAAACAUCAGGCAAUGUUGGAUCUCUCUGGAGAUUGAACAUCCUUCCUUCCAAGGAUUCCAAUUCUGCUGCUGCCUGCUGAGAAAUUGGCAGAUGAAACAUUGAGAACAAAUCCUGGGUUUGCAAAAACUCCCUGACAGAAACCUUAUCAUCCAAAACAAAAGAGAAAAGCCUUGGUAAUCUGAGGCUUAGUGGCCUUGAAGAGCCACCUACAUGGCAAGCAUCCAGCCAAAAGAGAGCAGAAUCACCCAUAUUAACUGGCACUGAAGCAAUUGACCUAUAAGUGUCAGCAAGCUUGAGAAUGUCCUUCCACCAAAAGGAGCCAGUUAGGACUGUUGCAUGGGGCACCACUCCAUCAUAAUAACUAUCCCAAAUCAACUGGACCCAAGGAAUCUGCUGUUUGUUGUAGAACUUAUGCAUUUGUUUGAGAAGCAGACCUUGAUUUUGAACAUUGAGGUUGAGAAUGCCAAGUCCUCCCUUAUCCUUUGGUCUGCAAACUAAAUCACAGGCAGCUAGGGAUUGCUUAGGCACAUCAGAAUUUCCUCUCCACAAACACUGCCUGAAAAUCCUAUCCAACUGUUUGAUAAUACCAGGUGGGAUAUGCAAGCUGCAGAGGAAGUAUAUGGGCAUUGAAGUAAGCACAGAUGUGAGAAAUUGUAACCUGGAUCCUUGGUUGAGCAUGGCAGAGCUAACAGACAGUCUUCUUUCAAGACUAUCCACUAAAGGCAUGAAAUCAAUGAUUCUAGGUCUUGUUGUACCAAGAGGCAAACCCAGAUAUGUGAAAGGUAACUGCUCCGGUUUACAUCCCAGGAUGGAAGACAACCUCUGUGCCUCUGUGGGAUCAACAUUUAGUGGCACCAUUGAAGACUUUCCAAAAUUUACCUUUAGGCCAGUAGACUGUUGGAAAAUAUGGAGCAUGUUCUUGAGAGCCACCAACUGGUCCUGUACUGCAGAAAGGAUAAUUAUUGUGUCAUCUGCAUACUGAAUGAUAGGAAAUUCAGGGUCCUAAGAUGGGAUUGGAAGUGUUAGAACUCCCUUAGCCAGCAUGUUAUUGACCAUUGUUUGAAGAAGAUCGGCAGCUAUGACAAAUAAAAGAGGGGAUAGGGGAUCCCCCUGCCUGACCCCACAUUUAUAUUUGAACUGUUUGCCAGGCACCCCAUUAAGCAAAACAGAUGAUGAUCCUGAGGAGAGAAUCUCUUUAAUCCAAGAAAUCCAUUUGGCAUCAAAACCUUUGUGCUGUAGAACUUGCAAGAUGAAGUCAUGCUCCACAGUGUCAAAAGCUUUGGCAAAAUCCAAUUUCAAAAUGAUGGUUGGCCUUUUGGAUUGAUUGCAUUGAUGUAUAUAUUCAAAAGCCCAAGCCAGGCAGUCCUGAAUGGCUCUGCUCUUCAAAAACCCAUAUUGAUUCUUAUGGAUGCAUUGCAGAAUGACCUUUUGAAGCCUAUUUCCCAAAAGCUUAGUAAGGAACUUGAGGCAUGUGUUAGUAAGAGAGAUUGGUCUAAAAUCCUCAAGUCCUUCAGGAGACAACAUCUUUGGAAUUAAGGUGAUAAGGGAUCCAUUAAUAUUUUCCAAAGAUAGCCUCCCAUCAUAAAACCCCUGAAUGAGAGCCAAGAAAUCCUUCUCAAUGAUGGGCCAACACUUCUUAACAAAAAGACCAUUAAAACCGUGAAAGUGAUGAUGAAGAUUCUCCCCCUAAUAAAUAUGAAUUGCCUGUUGUGCCUGAGGGCUAUGUUAUGGAUGAAGAAAUUGCUAAAGCUAUUUUUGUUUGCAAAGAUAGAUAUGAUCUUAAGAAGUUAUUAGCUAAAUGGAAGCAGCAAUCUCUUAAUGCUAGAAUGAAACCUGACCCUGCUUUUGCUACUUCACCUAUCUGUGUUACUGAUAAGGAUUAUGAAUUCUCUGUUGAUCCUGAUAUAAUUACUUUGGUUGAAUCUGAUCCUUUUCAUGGCUAUGAGUCUAAAACUGUUGUGGCACAUCUUACUAAAUUAAAUGAUAUAGCCACCCUAUUCACUAAUGAUGAGAGAACUCGUUACUUUUAUAUCCUUAAAAUAUUCCUGUUCUCAUUAAAGGGUGAUGCUAAGAUAUGGUUUAAUUCUCUUGAUCCUGGUUGUGUGCGUAGUCCCCAGGAUAUGAUUUAUUACUUCUCUGCUAAAUAUUUCACUGCUCAUAAGAAACAAGCUGCUUUGAGGGAUAUAUAUAAUUUUGUGCAAAUUGAAGAAGAGAGUCUCCCACAAGCUUGGGGGAGGCUUCUCCAAUUACUUAAUGCUUUGCCUGAUCAUCCUCUUAAGAAAAAUGAAAUAUUGGAUAUAUUUUAUAAUGGACUAAGUGAUGCUUCCAGAGAUUACCUGGAUAGUUGUGUUGGUUCUGUUUUCAAGGAAAGAACACCGGAUGAAGCUGAAAUUCUAUUGAAUAAUAUGUUGACAAAAGAAAAUAAUUGGACACUUCCUGAGCCAGCUCCUGAGCCUAUUCCUAAACCAACUCCGAAGAAGAGGGGUAUUCUAUUUCUCAGUCCUGAAGAUAUGCAAGAGGCAAAGAAAUCCAUGAAAGAAAAGGGUAUUAAAGCUGAAGAUGUUAAGAAUUUACCUCCUAUUGAAGAAAUACACGGUCUUAAUUUACCGCCUGUUGAAGAAACAUAUGAUCUUAAUCCAUUACCUAUUGAAGAAAUACAUGGUCUUGAUAACCCGACACAAGUAGUAAAGGUAAACUCUCUCUAUAGAUAUGAUAAAAUUGAAAUCCCUCUUACUAAGUUUGCUAGCCAAUGCUUAGAUGAGUUUGAUAAUUUUAUGGUGAAGCAAGAAGAUUUUAAUUCUUAUUUUGGUAGACAAUUGAAAUACAAUUCAAAUAUGCUUGAACACUUGGGUGAUUAUAUGGCUAAUGUUAAAGGUGAAAUUAAACUUAUUAGCAAACAUGCUUCUAUGGUUACCACUCAAGUAGAACAAGUACUUAAAGCUCAAAAUGAUUUGCUCAAUGAACUGAAUAGUAAGAAUAAUGAUAAUGCUGUUAGAGUUAUGACUAGAGGUGGUAAAAUGACUCAAGAACCUUUGUAUCCUGAAGGCCAUCAUAAGAGAAUUGAGCAAGAUUCUCGGAGAAAUAAUAUAGAUGCACCUAGUUCUUCUAAAAGGAAGAAAAAGAAAAAUGAUAGGACUUUGCAUGCUUCUAGUGAACCUAUUGAUGAAACACCUGAGAAUCCAAAUGAUAUUUCUAUUUCUGAUGCUGAAACACAAUCUGGUAAUGAACCUGAAACUAGUGAUAAUAUUAAUGAUAAUGUUCAUGUUGAUGCUCAACCUAGCAAUGAUAAUGAUAUAGAAAUUGAACCUGUUGUUGAUCUUGAUAACCCACAAUCAAAGAAUCAACGUUAUGAUAAGAGAGACUUUGUUGCUAGGAAACAUGGUAAGGAAAGAGAGCCUUGGGUUCAGAAACCCAUGCCUUUUCCUCCCAAACCAUCCAAGAAAAAGGAUGAUGAGGAUUUUGAGCACUUUGCUGAAAUGAUUAGACCUACCUUUUUGCGUAUGCGAUUAACUGAUAUGCUUAAAAUGAAUCCUUAUGCUAAGUACAUGAAAGAAAUUGUUACUAAUAAAAGAAAGAUACCGGAAGCUGAAAUUUCCACCAUGCUUGCUAAUUAUACUUUUAAAGGUGGAAUACCUAAGAAACUAGGAGAUCCCGGAGUACCAACUAUACCAUGCUCCAUUAAAAGAAAUUAUGUUAAAAUUGCUUUAUGUGAUCUUGGAGUCGGUGUUAGUGUUAUGCCUCUCUCUUUAUAUCAUAGACUUGAUUUGAAUAAGUUGACACCUACUAAAAUAUCUUUGCAAAUGGCUGAUAAAUCAACUGCUAUACCUAUCGGUAUUUGUGAGGAUGUGCCUGCUGUGGUUGCAAACGUUACUAUUUUAAUGGACUUUGUUAUUCUUGAUAUUCCCGAGGACGAUAGUAUGUCUAUUAUUCUUGGAAGACCCUUUUUGAAUACUGCAGGGGCUGUUAUUGAUUGCAACAAAGGCAAUGUCACUUUUCAUGUUAAUGGUAAUGAGCAUACGGUACACUUUCCGAGGAAACAACCUCAAGUCCACAGUAUCAAUUCUAUUGGAAAAAUUCAAUCGAUUAUUUUUGAAGGUUUUGAAUUUCCUCUUCCUACUGUCAAAAGAAAUAUGAUAUUCUUAUUAUUGGGGAUGUGCAUAUCCCCGUUGAGGUAACAUAGUGUUAUUCGAAAUUCCUCCGGUUCCAUGUUAUUCGGAAUGAGUUUGCUAACAAGACUUGAUCAACCAUGUUAACGGAUUCCUUUUGAUGAGCAUGAGAUGGAUGAAACUAGAAGGCACAACUCUCCGUACCCUCCUUUUACUUUCUGUUAUUUAUAUUAAAUAAAAUUAAAAGAAGUAUUUUCCGUCUGUUAUCUGAUUUAUCCGUGCAAUAUAAAAUACCCCGAAAAUAAAAGUUCUCCAAAUGCCUUGAAAUUUAAAUAUGAUUUUUUCUGGAAUAUUUGAGAAUAUUUGGCACUAAGAACACAACACAGGGGGCAUCCACCUGGCCACGAGAGUGGAGGGCGCGCCCUACCCCCCCUGUGCGUGCCCCUUGCCUCGUGGGCCCACGGUGGCCCUCCUCCACUUAUUCCUGCACCCACACACUCCUUCCUCCCAUAAACACGAUUAUCCAGUUCGAACCCAAGUCCAAGCUCAUUUUGCUGCUAUUUUCGAUCUCCUUGCUCAAAGCACCUCUCACAAAACUGCUUGGGGGGAUUGUUCCUUGGUAUGCGACUCCUCCAUUGGUCCAAUUAGUUUUUGUUCUAGUGCUUUAUUCAUUGCAAAUUUAUGUUGUCUAGGUGCCCAUGUUCCUGAGCUUGCAUGUCAAAUUUAUGUGGUUCCAACUAGUUUUGAUGCAUGAUAUAGGCUCUAGGCACUUGUAGGAGUUGUUGCUAUCAAUUUUGUUGAGCUUGGCUCACUUUUAUUUGAAGUUACUAAAAAUUUCAGAAUUUUUCAGAAAAUAAUGAAGAGAUUUUUGAGGGGCUCAUCAAGCCGAAGCUCGAAGGAAAAGCAAAAUGAAAAAGCAGAGAGGCCCGAAUAUAAUCUGCCUCGCACCGCAGAGGUUCGGCCGUGUGAAUGGCCUUCCAAUGAUUUCUUGAGAGCAGUCGGGAUUUAUGAUGAUUUUUAUGAAUUGGCUGAGAAUGUAGGCCUCACCGCCUUCCUCCAUGACCAACGCGAACAAUAUCUCUUACUCACCAAUAUCUUUGUGCAAAACUUUCAUUUCCAUGCUAGGAGCUCACCACCUACGGUGGAGUUUUAUUUGUAUGAUGAGCACAAGGAGAUGUCACUUUACGAUUUCUGUCGGGUUUGAUUGAUCCCUUUCGAGGGCACAAUAGAGGAACCACACCGCGGUGAUGUGGAUGGGUUUAUAGAUACCAUCACUGUAGGGGAAACGAGGAAGGUUUCCGAUGCACGAAUCACUAGCAUACAUUUUCCUGUUUUACGCUACUUUGCAAUAUUUGCUAGUCGUUGCUUAAUUGGUCGCGAAAACUGUGGAAACCUUAGUGUUCCUGAUAUUAUUAUUUUGUUCCACGGUUUAUUCUGUGAUAAAUCUGUUAGUAUGGGCGGUAUUAUUGCUAAACGGUUAAGUCUCAACUGUACAAAGGGCCCCAUCUUUGGAGGCAUCUAUGCUUCACGCCUAACUGCGCAUUUUAACAUACCUAUUAAGCAUUAUGAGAAGGAAGAAAAAUUGCUGCCCCUGUUUAUUUAGAUUAUAAGAGUAUGGUGGCACACGAUUUUAUUGUUAAGAAUAGGAAAGGGGAGCUUAAAUACAAAUUGUUCUUUGAUAAACAUCAUCCUGAGACUAUUACCCUGCCUACUCCUUCCUUGUUUGAUUUAUCUCCAGGCAAGUACCUUGUUCCGUUAGAGGCUAUUCACGCCUACCGGAACAUUGCAUCAGCCACAGAGCCAGAGUCGGAACCACUAGUUGAUCCUCCACGACAGUCUAAUUACCAUUGGGAUCCAGAAAUGAUAGCCACCAGUGGAAAUCAGAGUCUUCUUCGCAGUACGACCCCAACUAUUACUAUGGAUAUCCGCCAGGCCAGCCGUGGCCAUAGACCAACUUAGGUCAAAAGCCUAAACUUGGGGGAGUACGUAUUUCCCGCCGACAUUACAUUCAUGUUCGCACACUCAUUGCUAGAUGUCGGUGCUCAUACUUUUUCAUUGUAUCAUCCAUGCUAGUUCAUUUCCUUUUUAAGCUUUCUUCUUGUGUGUUUAAUAAACCUUAAGAAAAACCAAAAAAACUAGUUGUAGCUUUUAGCUAGUUUUAAUUUCCAUGCUUGUAGUAGUAAUUAAAAAGAAAACCCAAAAAAAGAUUUCUUGUUCUUGUUUUGCUCGUUGGGAGCUUUCCCGUGUAAAUAGUUUUAUUUCUUUUCUUUGGGGGUCGAUAGGAGAAUACCAUGAUUAAAUUGUUGAAGUGGCUCUUAUAUAUAUUUUUUAUCUGACAAAAGAGCCCAUAUUGCCUUGUCUUCUCCAGUUUAUUGAAUGCUUGCAGAUUCCAGCUUAGUCCAAUGCACGCGCACUAUUAUUAUUAUCCACAUCGUUCGGUCGUGCAAGUGAAAGGCAAUUAUGACAAUAUAUGAUGGACUGACUGAGAUGAGAAAAGCUGGUAUAAACUCAACCUCUCUUGUUUUUGUAAAUAUGAUUAGUUCAUCGUUCCUGAUUCAGCCUAUUAUGAAUAAACAUGUUUGCAAUGACAACUAGAGAUCAUAGUUUCUUGUGCCAUGCUUGAUUAGCUAGGAGCUUAUAAUGGUUUACCUUGCGUGCCAACAUGCUAUUAAAAUGGUUGUGAUGUGGUAUGAUAGGGUGGUAUCCUCCUCUGAAUGAUUUGAGUGGCUUGACUUGGCACAUGCUCACGCAUGUAGUUGAAAUAAAAUCAACAUAUCCUCUACGAUAUUUAUGUUCAUGGGGAAUUAUAUCCUACUCAUGCUUGCAUUUGGUGUUGAUUAAUUUUAAUGCAUGUUUAUGAGUGUUGUCGCUCUCUAGCUGGUUGCUUCCCAGUCUUUUGCUAGCCUUCACCUGUACUAAGCGGGAAUACUGCUUGUGCAUCCAAUCCCAUAAACCCCAAAGUUAUUCCAUAUGAGUCCACCAUACCUACCUAUUUACGGUAUCUACCUGCCGUUCCAAGUAAAUUUGUAUGUGCCAAACUCUAAACCUUCAAAUAAAUAUCAUGUUUUGUAUGCUCGAAUAGCUCAUGUAUCAACUAGGGCUGUCUGUAUCUUCCAUGUUAGGCGGGUUAUUCUCAAGAGGAGUGGACUCCGCUCCUCACUCACGAGAAAAUGGCUGGUCACCGGGAUGCCCAGUCCCAUGCUUUAUGCAAAUCAAAUCAAAAUAAUUGCAAACAAAACUCUCCCUAGGACUCUUGUUAGUUGGAGGCACUCGUUGUUUUGAGCAAGCCAUGGAUUGAUGCUUGUUAGUGGAAGGGGAGUAUAAACUUUACCAUUCUGUUUGGGAACCGCCUAUAAUGUGUGUAGCAUAGAAUAUAUCGCCCUCUCUUGGUUGUUAUGUUGACAAUGAAAGUAUACUGCUCAAAAUAUUAUUCACCUCUAUUUCAAAACCGAGCUCUGGCACCUCUACAAAUCCCUGCUUCCCUCUGCGAAGGGCCUAUCUAUUUACUUUUAUGUUGACUCAUCAUCCUCUUAUUAAAAAUCACAAGUUGGAGAGCACCGCUGUCAUUUGCAUUCAUUACUGUUAGUUUACAUUGAGUAUGACUGGACUGGAUCUCUUUUACCAUGAAUUACAAUGUCUAGUCAGUCCUUGAUCUUUAAAGGUGCUCUGCAUUUAUGUUUUGCGGUCUCAGAAAGGGCUAGCGAGAUACCAUCUUGUUAUAUCAUAUCAUGAUUGUUUUGAGAAAGUGUUGUCAUCUGAGAUUUAUUAUAUUGCUCGCUAGUUGAUUAUGCCAUUGAUAUGAGUAAACAUGAGACCUAAAUGUUAUUGUGAAUAUGGUUAGUUCAUAAUCUUUGCUGAAAACUUGAAUGCUGGCUCUACAUAUUUACAACAACAAGAGCAAACAGAGUUUGUAAAAGUUUUUCUUUAUCACUUUCAGCUUAUCAACUGAACUGCUUGAGGACAAGCAAAGGUUUAAGCUUUGGGCAGUUGAUACGUCUUCGUCGUAUCUACUUUUCCAAACACUUUUGCCCUUGUUUUGGACUCUAACUUGCAUGAUUUGAAUGGAACUAGCCCGGACUUACGCUGUUUUCAGCAGAAUUGCCAUGGUGUUAUUUUUGUGCAGAUAUAAAAGUUCUCGGAAUGACCCGAAAAUCAACGGAGAAUUAUUUUGGAAUACAUAAAUAAUACUGGAAGGAAGAUCCACGUCAGGGGGGCCUCCACCUGUCCACGAGGGUGGGGGCGCGCCCUACCCCCCUGGUGCUACCUCUUGAGCACUGCGUUGGUUUUCCCUUGAAGAGGAAAGGGUGAUGCAGUAAAGUAGCGUAAGUAUUCCCCUCAGUUUUUGAGAACCAAGGUAUCAAUCCAGUAGGAGAUCACGCUCGAGUCCCACGCACCUACACAACCAAAUAAGAACCUCGCAACCAACGCGAUAAAGGGGUUGUCAAUCCCUUCACGGUCACUUACGAGAGUGAGAUCUGAUAGAUAUGGUAAGAUAAUAUUUUGGUAUUUUUAUGAUAAAGAGAAAUAAAGAUGCAAAGAAAAAUAAACGGCAAUAGAAAUAACUAAGUAUCACCUGGGCGCACCCCCUGCCUCGUGGGCCCCCUGACGCUCCACCAACCUCAACCCUGACUUCAUAUAUUCACUUUCGGGGAGAAAAAACCAGAGAGAAAGAUUCAUCACAUUUUACGAUACGGAGCCGCCGCCAAGCCCUAAACUCUCUCGGGAGGGCUGAUCUGGAGUCCGUUCGGGGCUCCGAAGAGGGGAAUCCAUCGCCAUCAUCAUCAUCAACCUUCCUCCAUCACCAAUUUCAUGAUGCUCACCGUCGUGCGUGCAUAAUUCCAUCGUAGGCUUGCUGGACGGUGAUGGGUUGGAUGAGAUUUAUCAUGUAAUCGAGUUAGUUUUGUUAGGGUUUGAUCCCUAGUAUCCACUAUGUUCUGAGAUUGAUGUUGCUAUGACUUUGCUAUGCUUAAUGCUUGUCACUAGGGCCCGAGUGCCAUGAUUUCAGAUCUGAACCUAUUAUGUUAUCAUCAAUAUAUGAGCGUUCUUGAUCCUAUCUUGCAAGUCUAUAGUCACCUACUAUGUGUUAUGAUCCGGCAACCCCGAAGUGACAAUAAUCGGGACCACUCCUGGUGAUGACCGUAGUUUGAGGAGUUCAUGUAUUCACUAUGUGUUAAUGCUUUGGUCCGGUACUCUAUUAAAAGGAGGCCUUAAUAUCCCUUAGUUUCUGCUAGGACCCCGCUUCCACGGGAGGGUAGGACAAAAGAUGUCAUGCAAGUUCUUUUCCAUAAGCACGUAUGACUAUAUUCGGAAUACAUGCCUACAUUACAUUAAUGAAUUGGAGCUAGUUCUAUGUCACCCUAGGUUAUGAUUGUUACAUGAUGAACCGCAUCCGACAUAAUUCUCUAUCACUGAUCCAUUGCCUACGAGCUUUCCAUAUAUUGUUCUUCGCUUAUUUACUUUUCCAUUGCUAUUGCUAUCAUCACUACAAAAUACCAAAAACAUUACUUUUGCUAUCGUUACCUUUUGCUGCCGUUACCACUACUAUCAUAUUACUUUGCUACUAAACACUUUGCUGCAGAUAUUAAGUUUCCAGGUGUGGUUGAAUUGACAAGUCAGCUGCUAAUAGUUGAGAAUAUUCUUUGGCUCCCCUUGUGUUGAAUCAAUAAAUUUGGGUUGAAUACUCUACCCUUGAAAACUGUUGCGAUCCCCUAUACUUGUGGGUUAUCAUUGCUCCUGCAGCGGGUCUUGCACAUAGCGGUGCUUCCAGGACGUAAUUCUUCUGUGUAGCAAUGAGGAUAAUCCUCAAGUUACGGACCUAGUCCAUGUAGUUGCUACCAUCAUCUUUCAACUUAGGUUUCUCUACGAACGCAUUAAAAUUCAAAGGGACAUUAGCACGGGCCAUUGAUCUACAACAACAUAGACAUGCAAACUACUAUCAGGUGCUAAGUUCAUGAUAAAUUAAAGUUCAAUUAAUCAUAUUACUUAAGAACUCCCACUUAGAUAGACAUCCCUCUAGUCAUCUAAAUGAUCACGUGAUCCAUAUCAACUAAACCAUGUCCGAUCAUCUCGUGAGAUGGAGUAGUUUCAAUGGUGAACAUCACUAUGUUGAUCAUAUCUACUAUAUGAUUCACGCUCGACCUUUCGGUCUCAGUGUUCCGAGGCCAUAUCUGCAUAUGCUAGGCUCGUCAAGUUUAACCCGAGUAUUCUGCGUGUGCAAAACUGGCUUGCACCCGUUGUAUGUGAACGUAGAGCUUAUCACACCCGGUUAUCACGUGGUGUCUCGGCACGACGAACUAUAGCAAUGGUGCAUACUCAGAGAGAACACUUGUACCUUGAAAUUUAGUGAGAGAUCAUCUUAUAAUGCUACCGCCGUACUAAGCAAAAUAAGAUGCAUAAAGGAUAAACAUCACAUGCAAUCAAAAUAAGUGAUAUGAUAUGGCCAUCAUCAUCUUGUGCCUUUGAUCUCCAUCUCCAAAGAACCGUUAUGAUCACCAUCAUCACCGGCUUGACACCUUGAUCUCCAUCGUAGCAUCGUUGUCAUCUCGCCAACUAUUGCUUCUACGACUAUCGCUACCACUUAGUGAUAACGUAAAGCAAUUACAUGGCGAUUGCAUUUCAUACAAUAAAGCGACAACCAUAAGGCUCCUGCCAGUUGCCGAUAACUUUUACAAAACAUGAUCAUCUCAUACAACAACUUAUAUAUCAUCACGCAAAAACAAGUUAGACGUCCUCUACUUUGUUGUUGCAAGUUUUACGUGGCUGCUACAGGCUUCUAGCAAGAACCGUUCUUAUCUACGCAUCAAAACCACAAUGAUUUUUCAUCAAGUGUGUUGUUUUAACCUUCAACAAGGACCGGGCGUAGUCAAACUCGAUUCAACUAAAGUUGGAGAAACAGACACCCAGUAGCCACCUGUGUGUGAAGCACCUCGAUGGAACCAGUCUCAUGAACGCGGUCAUGUAAUGUCGGCCUGAGCUGCUUCAUCCAACAAUACCGCCAAAUCAAAGUAAGACGUUGCUGGUAAGAAGUAUGACUAUUAUCGUCCACAACUCAUUGUGUUCUACUCGUGCAUAUAACAUCUACGCAUAGACCUGGCUCGGAUGUCAUUGUUGGGGAACGUAGUAUUUCAAAAAAAAUCAUACGAUCACGCAAGAUAUAUCUAGGAGAAGCAUAGCAAUGAGCGGGGAGAGUGUGUUCACGUACCCUCGUAGACCGAAAGCGGAAGCGUUUAGUAACACGGUUGAUGUAGUCGAACGUCUUUGCGAUCCAAUCGAUCCAAACACCAAACGUACGACACCUCCGCGUUCAGCACACGUUCAGCUUGAUGACAUCCCUCGAGCUCUUGAUCCAGUUGAGGCCGAGGGAUAGUUCCGUCAGCACGAUGGCGUGGCGACGGUGAUGAUGAAGUUACCGGCGCAGGGCUUCGCCUAAGAACUACGACGAUAUGACCGAGGUGUGUAACUGUGGAGGGGGGCAACGCCCACGGCUAAGAGAAACUUGUGUCUUUGGGGUGCCCCCCUCCCACGUAUAUAAAUGGGGGGAGGAGGCCGGCCCAAAGGGGGGCGCGCCACAUGUUGGGGGUCCUACUAGGACUCCCUAGUCCUAGUAGGAUUCCCCUCUCCUUUCCUUUUACGGAAGGGGGAAAGGGGGGAAGGAGAGGAGGGGAAGAGGGAAAGGGGGCACGCCCCCUCCCCUUCCUAUUCGGACUCCACUUGGGGGGACGCGCACGCCUCCCCCUUGUGGGUUGUACCCUCUUCUCUCCCAUGGCCCAUAAGGCCCAUGAUUUCCCCCGGGGGGUUCCGGUAACCUCCCGGUACUCCAGAAAAAUGCUCGAAUCACUCGGAAUCAUUCUGAUGUUUGAAUGCAACCUUCCAAUAUAUGAAUCUUUACCUCUCGACCAUUUCUGUGAUCUCAUCCGGGACUCCGGACAAACUUCAGUCAUCAAAUCACAUAACUCAUAAUACAAAUUGGCACGAACGUUAAGCAUGCGGACCCUAUGGGUUUGAGAACUAUGUAGACAUGACUGAGACACAUCUCCGGUCAUUAACCAAUAGCGGAACCUGGAUGCUCAUAUUGGCUCCUACAUAUUCUACGAAGAUCUUUAUCGGUCAAACCGCAUAACAACAUACGUAGUUCCCUUUGUCAUAUGUAUGUUAUUUGCCCGAGAUCCGAUCGUCGGUAUCCCCAUACCUAGUUCAAUCUCGUUACCGUCAAGUAUCUUUACUUGUUCCGUAAUGCAUCAUCAUGUAACUAACUCAUUAGUCACAUUGCUUGCAAGGCUUAUAGUGAUGUGCAUUACCGAGAGGGCUUAGAGAUACCUCUCUGAUACACGAAGUGGCAAAUCCUAAUCUCGAUCUAUGCCAACUCAACAAACACCAUCAGAGACACCUGUAGAGCAUCUUUAUAAUCACCCAGUUACAUUGUGACGUUUGAUAGCACACUAAGUGUUCCUCCGGUAUUCGGGAGUUGCAUAAUCUCAUAGUCAUAGGAACAUGUAUAAGUCAUAAAGAAAGCAAUAGCAAUAAAAUUAAACGAUCAUUAUGCUAAGAUAACGGAUGGGUCUUGUCCAUCACAUCAUUCUCUAAUGAUGUGAUCCCGUUCAUCAAAUGACAACACAUGUCUAUGGUUAGGAAACUUAACCAUCUUUGAUUAACGAGCUAGUCUAGUAGAGGCAUACUAGGGACACUCUGUUUGUCUAUGUAUUCACACAUGUACUAAGUUUCUGGUUAAUACAAUUCUAGCAUGAAUAACAAAGAUUUAUCAUGAUAUAAGGAAAUAUAAAUAACAACUUUAUUAUUGCCUCUAGGGCAUAUUUCCUUCAGGAAGAGCAUCGCGGGUGGGAGGGAGAAGGGGAAUUAAGAGAGUGUGGGUUUGGGUUUGGGCCUCCGCGUGCUAUGUGUACACAUGUGUUGGUGGGUCGAUAGUAGUGGUCCUGGGUUUAUACCCCACGCUACUACUAUGGCCUAUCCCGGGGGUACGGUAGAGACCGCUUAGUAGUAGCGAGGGAUUUAUACCCCUCACUACUACUAUCAACUUAGUAGUAGUGAGGGAUUUAUACCCCUCGCUACUACUAUCAACUUAGUAGUAGUGAGGGAUUUAUACCCCUCGAUACUACUAUGGCCAGUCCCGGGGGGCACGGUGGAGACCACUUAGUAGUAGUGUGGGGUUUAUACCCCUCGCUACUACUAUCAACUUAGUAGUAGUGUGGGUUCUAUACCCCUCGCUACCAAUAAUUAGCAGCAGUGUGGCCCAUAUACCCCUCGCUACGGUUAAGCAUCUAUCUAUAAAGUAUUUUCUAGUAGUGCAUCGAUGGCGGCGAAAUCAGUCGUUCUGCUUGUUUUCCCUACUAGCUCUCUGACGUCCAGAACAAGUUUACGGUCAUAAGGUGCAAUAACCUUGCCUUCAUGAGUGACACGAUGACACGGGAACAGGCUUCCAAGCCUAUGGUGUCGCAUCAUGUCGUGGUCUGCUAGACUUAGUGGACGAAUGCUACUACAAUAUCGGUUGAUCUCAUACUACAAUACCAAGGAAGACACGCAACUACUAUAUAUAUUUCUUCAAGUCAGUCAACACAAGUAAAAUCUGGGAGUUCAACUGGUGCAGCUAUGCAAUGCUAAUGGAGACAACACAAUUCAACUUUAGCACUUCACACAUAAGCAACACCACGUUCAAUGGCACACACCUUAGAGUGUACCUAUGGUGGUUGAUUGGGCUAUAAGAAAUGUGAGUCCAUGUGAAGAUGCCAAAUAUAAUAACACGGCUAAUUACACAUGCAGUGGCAGCAGCAACAAGUGCAUGAAUUCCACAAAUGAUCUAGGGUACACAUGCAACUGUGUCCUUGAGUAUGACAACAACCCUUAUCUUCUAGACAAAUGCAUGGUAUGCUACUAAUUUAUUUGCUAAAUAUUCCAAUGAAUUGUGUCCUUUACUUUGUACAUACCCAAUUAUAAUAUUUUAUUUUGCUAAUACAAUGUAGCCUUCAAUUUAAACCAAGGUUUGCAUCCAUUAAUUAUGUUAGGUUCAUAUGACUUCACUACAUAAAUAGGUAGAUAAUGCAUAAGACUGAGAUUGUAGCUAGGGAUGAAAAUCUAAAUACGGCAUGAAUCUAACAAUUAUGAGUAAUGUCUUUGUGACAAGAACUUUCUUUGUCUUUUAUUCCCAUGUUUGAACUAGUAUAGGUCAGGGUUACACAUUAUGGUGCACAUCACUUUAUUUGUCAUCGUUACAUUGAACACUCAUUGACUAAACAACGAUGAUCCAUCCGUCUUGUAUUACAGGUCUUCAUUUCAUUGGCCACCGAUGCUUGUAAGACUACUCCCAGAUGGUUGUUGUUGUGGAUAUGGUUGUUGAGGUUGGUGUGGUUGCUGGGGGAAUGGUUGUUGGGGUUGCUGGGAAAUUGUUUGUUCUAGUUGCUGGGAUAAUUGUUGUUGGGGCUGCAGAAAUGGUUGUUGUGGUUGUUGUGGUUGCAGGAUGGAGGGUUGCUGGGAAAAUGGUUGUUGCGGUCGUAGGGGGAAUGGUUGUUGUGGUUGUAGAGGGAAAGGUUGUUGUGGUUGUUGAGGGAAUGGUUGUUGUGGUUGUUGGGGGAAUGAUUGUUGUGGUUGCAGGGGGAAUGGUUGUUGUGGUUGCUGGGGGAANNNNNNNNNNNNNNNNNNNNNNNNNNNNNNNNNNNNNNNNNNNNNNNNNNNNNNNNNNNNNNNNNNNNNNNNNNNNNNNNNNNNNNNNNNNNNNNNNNNNNNNNNNNNNNNNNNNNNNNNNNNNNNNNNNNNNNNNNNNNNNNNNNNNNNNNNNNNNNNNNNNNNNNNNNNNNNNNNNNNNNNNNNNNNNNNNNNNNNNNNNNNNNNNNNNNNNNNNNNNNNNNNNNNNNNNNNNNNNNNNNNNNNNNNNNNNNNNNNNNNNNNNNNNNNNNNNNNNNNNNNNNNNNNNNNNNNNNNNNNNNNNNNNNNNNNNNNNNNNNNNNNNNNNNNNNNNNNNNNNNNNNNNNNNNNNNNNNNNNNNNNNNNNNNNNNNNNNNNNNNNNNNNNNNNNNNNNNNNNNNNNNNNNNNNNNNNNNNNNUGGUUGCAGAGGGAACGAUUGUUGGGUCUGGGGAAAUGGUUGUUGUGGUUGCCAGGAAAAUGGUUGUUGGGGCUGUGGAAAAGGUUGUUGUGGUUGUUGGGGUUGCUGGGGGAAUGGUUGUUGUGGUUGUAAGGGGGUCGGUUGUUGGGGUUGGGGAAAUAAUUGUUGUGAUUGCUGGGGAAAUUGUUGUUGGGGUGUGGAAAAUGGUUGUUGUGAUGGAUAUGGUUGCUGUGAUGGAUAUGGUUGUUGUGGAUAUGGCUGUUGUGGAAAUAGUUUUUGUUGAUGGGAAAAUGAUUGUUGAGGUGAUUGUAACUCUUUGUUGUUAGGGUUUAGUUGCCUAGCGGCAAUGGCGGUGUUCAUCGCCAUGGCAAGGAGGACAAAGAUGAGGAAGGUCUUCAUGUUGGAUUUGUGGUUACUACUGCUUGCUUGCCUUUGAUGCUUGUGGUCUAGGUGUGUGAAGUUUUGUUGAUGGAAGGUGUCCUUGGUGGUGCAUGUGUAUUUAUAGUUUUCAUGGCAUGGCUUGCUUUCAUCUUUGCACUCGCUCUUUGAAAAAGUGCAUCAAUGCUUAUCCAACUAAUCAUUUGGUUUGUUG
rnacentral:lncRNA from 1 species